UUUUUUUUUUUGGUUAUUAAUAGGUAUUUAAUAUUUAACAGUAAACACCGCGUGAGAAAAUUACGCGAAACUUCGAGGGAAGUAUCGGGAGUUACUUUUUUUCUCUCUCUAUCUCUACAACAUGGCGGUUAAAAAAACAAAGAGAGGGAGAGAAAAAACUAGCCGUUAGAGAAAAAGACACGUGGCAACGUGACAGAACCUGGGGAGAUAAUUGGGCGGUGACGUGGUGCUUGGUCGGCUUUGUCGGUAGCUUCUGGAGGACGUUCCGUGUACGUAAGUAACCGCGUGGUAUGGUAGACCGUCACUGCAGUGGAUCACAGCCUGUGCAAAACACGUCUGUGAUGGCUUGAUCUACGGUGAAAAGUGGUUAACCCAACAUGGAGUGGGACCCACUGGAAACCAACUUUUGUGCUUCCAUGGAGUUUAUUAGGUGGAUGGCGGCUAUUGCUGCUUUGAUAUUGAAGGACCUUUUGGUCUUUUCCUUCUUUUGGAGUUUUUUCAACCAGGGUAUGCGUUGGGUCAAAAUCAAAGUUAGUGAAUUCGGCAAACAAAAACUGCAAUACAAAAUGUUUGUUAUAAACAAGAAGGCUGUUUUGGUCUUUUUAUCUUUAGCAGUUUUCUGAAUCAUGGUCUUUGUUUGGUCAAAACCAUAGUUAGUGUCAAUCCUGUGUAUAAAAAACAAAGCAUGUUUGUUUUUCCUUGGUAUAAUAAUGAUUAGCAAAAGAGUUAAAAGGCCAGCAGUUUUUUUAACAACAUUUUCCAUGAAAAUUUCAGGAAAAAAAACAGAUUUAUCAAUCCAACAUUUUAUUCAUUUCAAAUAAAGGUGUCAAAUUAAAAAGAUAUAUUCUCAAUAGAAAAAAAAAAUCGUUCUCAAGUGUGGUAAUUUGACCUUUUAUUCUUUUAAAUUUUCUAUAUAUAAUAGAUAUAUACUUGAAUCUGUUAUAGCUUAUUCUUCUGUUACAUUAUACAUGAAUCCAAAUUUCAUUGGAAAAGAUUCUAUUUAGAAGAUGGGAUUGUUUUUAAUGGAUGUUCAAUUCAAUUUUGUUUGCAUAAUUAAUAUAUAUAUAUAUAUAUAUAUAAAAGAGAAUACAUCAAAUUAUAUUGAAAUAAUUAAAAUAAUUGUAUCAAAUAUAAAUCAUUAAUAUAGAACUAUUUUACAUUUUAAAAUAACGUAACAUGUAUAAUAAUUUGAAUAUGUUUUAAUCAAUCAAUUGAGGUAAACAGUUUUUAAAUUAUUUAACUUCCUAAUUUGAUUAUUUAUGAAAAAUUAUUGAUAUUUAAAAAAAAAAUGUCGGUGUGUGUAUACACACAGAAGAUAAUGUUCAUUUUAAAAUAUUUUACUAUAAUCAAUUAAUUACUCUUUUAACUUUAAUUAUUUUAUUGAAUGAUUUGAAUUAAUUUAUUAUUUGAUUGAUUCUGUUAUUUAGAAACUAUAUACAAAAAAUUAUUAAUGGACUGAUUUUAUUUUUACAAAUAUUUUCAAUAGGAAAAUAUUUAUAUAGUUACGUUAAACUGAGUCGAUUUACAAAAAUAUUUUUUUCAGAUUAUAGAAAUUAUUAGUUUAUUAAUAAAUUAUAGAAAAUAUAAAUAUUUCAAAAUAGUGUUAAUUUAUUUGAGGACAGAGAAAUGGUUUUUAUUUCUAAUUUUGAAAUAAUAAAAAUGAAGAAUUAAAAAAAUGAAUCAAUGAAGUGAUCAUGUUUGUAUAUAUUAAAUAAAUCAAAUAUUUUAAAGUACAGUAUGUCCAUACAUAAAAAAAAUAUACUUUUCUAAGACUUAAUUAUACUAAGUGCAUAUUUUAAUUAUGUUAAUUUAAUCAUUCAAGUAUCACAAUUAUGUGAUUUUAAAUAUGCCAUGAAGAUUUUUAACACAGGAAACAAUAUGUAUUAUGUAGUUAUCAAUGAAACAAAAUUUUCCCACAACUCUAAAACUCAAAAGUAAAUAUGUGGGUUUGAUGGGUAUGAUUUAAUGUUCCUUAUUAUUUAAGCUUCACCCUAACAAAUUUGUCUGCAUUUUGAUUGGAUACCAUCACUUUUAAAUUUUUAUUUUUCUUCAUCUUAGACAAAGUUAAAUGAAAAAAUUCUUUUCAAAAUUGUAUUGUGAUACACACACGAGAGGGGAAAAAAAAAGACAAACAUGGGUGGAUCAAAAAUUUUCAUAAUAUGUUAAAAUUUUAAAAGAGUAGUCUAUUUAAUAUUCUUUAAUAUAGUUAAUUAUCAUAUUUUGUUUCAAUUUUUGUAGAAACAGUUUACUCAUGCAUAAACAAAAAUCUUUUAAUAAACAUCUAUUAUAGAGGUGUCUCCACCUGGUGAAUUACAACUUUAGUGUCAAGUUACUAUAAUGAAUAAGGACAAGAUAUAUGGAUGUGGAACUGAGUCAACCAAAGCAAUGGGAACACUCUUAUCAAGAGUUUUCUUCAUCUUCAGUCAAGCAAUGAUAGAAGGAACUGAACAAAUAUAAAAUAAGUUGAAGGUGGUUCAAACUGAGAGAAAUGAUAUUGAUUAAAAAAAUGCUAAAUAAUGAGAGAGAAAUUCAACAAAACAACAAAAUGUUAAUGUUGAUGGGAAAGACAGAUACUCAACCUUCUUAAAUAUGAACUACAACUUAUUUUAUAGCUAUCUACAUUUUACUUUGUUAAAUUCUACUUAGUGACCAAGAAUAUAGUAACUAAUUUUAGUCAAUCACUAAAUUGAUUAGUACAAUAACUAGUAAUUUUUUUAAAUAUAUUUAGGACACUCUUCCCUAAUUUUCUUAUAAUAAUACAUUAUGUUAUCAUACUUUAAUAUAAGAUAAUCAAUAAUUAUUUUAUAUAUUCAUUAUAAUUUAUAAUUUAUAAGUGGCAAAAACAAAUUAGGAAAAUCUUGUAACAAAAAAUUGACUAAACUCAUCAAAUUAAACUAAUAUAAAAUGUGUUCCCAGUCAUUUUAUUUUAUAUUUAAAAAGUCAAAAUGUUCUUAUCGGUCUAAAACACUUUUUAGAAUUAACUUGUUUUAUAAACUAUUUUUGCAAACCUUACAAAAUGUAAUAUUUUUAUUUAGGAAAAAAAACUCAAAGUGUAUCAUAGGCUCUGUAAUUCCUUUUAUAUUUUUUAAAUUUUUUUAAUAAUUAAGAAAUGUAUCUUAAUAAAAUAGUUAGAAUUUUUUUAUUUUUUGUGAUUUUUUUUUAUUUUUUGUGAUUUUUUUUAUUUUAUUUCAUAAUGAAUGUAUAUAUUAAAUUAAUUAAAAAUUAGGCAAAAUAUAAAAAAAAAUUUAAAAAAAAUUAGAGGAGGAUAGUUAAAGUAAUUUCUUUUAUCUAUUUUCAUAUUCUACCAGUAACAAUUUCUCAAUUAGUAUAUAAAACUUAUAGGAAAAAUAUAUACACAAGUUUAAAUUAACUUAUGCAUAAAAUUAAAAAUAUUUUUUAAAUAAAGUAAUUUGAAAAAUUAUAAAUUAACUGAUGAAGAAAUUAUUUUUAUUUUUUUCUUAUUUUUGUUUGAAUAAAUUUAUCCAAAUAUAUUCCUAUCCAGAAUUUAGGCAGAGGUAGAAAUUCAUUCAUAUGUCAAUUAAUUAUUAUGAGAAACAAAUCUCACAAAUAAAGGAUCUAUAAAAUUCAAUAUAAAAUACAAUAUGAAUGUUAUUGAGGUAGAUACUUGUUUUACUUUUUGAAGAAGUUUUCUUAAGUUACAUUUGUCCUAGUUUCUUCCUUUGAAGAGAAAAUAAAUCUACACACAGUUGGGUGAUGUAUUUCAUAGGAUUCUUCAAAAAACUAUUUUUAUUCGUAUAUAUUAUUUUAUUUAAUUGGUCUUUAUUUAAAAUGUGUCAAAGAUUAAAUAGGAAUUAAGAUAAAAAUAAAAAUAAAAUAUUUUUAGAAACUAAAUAAACAUUUGAGAUUAUUUACUUAAAUGAAAUGAGGUUCACCCCUGCACUAUAAAUAAAAAUUUAUUUUAUUUUAUUGAAUCCCACAUUAUUAUUAUUUUUUUCACUUUUGGAAGGGUUCCGCCGAACCUAUUUUAUAAUGAUUGUAACAAAUAAUUUAACAUUUUCUAUUUACUAAAUUUAAUAAGUUGUGUAGGUAAAUAUUUUUAGAAAAAAAUUUAAAAAUUAUAAAUCAAAAUUACCUCAUGUACACAUUAAUCUAUAAAAAUUAUAUCAUAUAGUUUAUCUAAAUUAUUGAUUUUAGUUUUUAUAUAAACUAGUUUUACUUUGAAAAUAUUAUUAUCUUUUGCAAGUGCCUUUUAAGGAGUCUGUGUAAAUAAACCAUAUGUCAAUGCAUCACAUCCUUCACUUAUUUCAUUUUUUUUUUCUGUUUUGUUUUCUAUUUUACGUUUUCGAGUUUUCUUUUACUUAUUGUUUUGCACCAUUUUCCUCCGUUAAAAAUUAUAGCGUAAAAAUUAAAUUAUAACAAAAUAUAAUAUAAUAUUUUGAAUUUAAGAAAUGAAUGUUUAGACGUGGAAACUGGAAGACACAUGCACCAAAACGUGGCACUAAUGUAAACAGUUUAAUUUUAUCAUGCAAUCUCAAACUUUUAUGUAGAAUAAAUUUAUUAUUUUUAUGUGAAUUUUUUAUAUUAUUUUAUAAUUACUAUUUUCAGAGUCAUGCUAAUAAUUUUUUUAUUGAUGGUAUACAUUUUUUAUUCCAUUAUAUUAUUUUGAAAAACUCAAUAAACAAAUUCACCGGGAUUAAAUAAAUUAGUUAGUAAUAAAGUUUCCUAGAUUUGUAUAUGUUUUUCCAAAAUUAUUCUUUUUAUAAAAUUGAGACAUAAUCUUAGUUUUCAGGCUCAACUAUCAAAUUCAAAAUCAUAAAAACAAUUGAUAUUUAUAUUCUCCCUUUUAACUACUCUUUAGAACUUUUUACAAUUUUUCUUUUUAAAUAACUAAUUUUUUACAUUUAAAUAAACAUUCAUCUACACAGUAAAAAAAUUAACUAUAAAGUUAAAGUAUUUUUAUAAUUACUUUUUAUAAAAAAAACAUAACUUCAUAAUAUAUUUUUAUUUCAAUAAUUAUUAUAAUAAUAUUUUUUUUCAAAAAAAAUGGACAAACAUUCCCACCAGUCCCCUUUAAUGGUAGUAAUUGUAACGUUCUAGAGUCAACCAUGACUCAGUCCAGUUAGUACGACUAGCCGUGAUACUCUUUCCUCCAGAUUCCACCGACCUAGAAACAGGAAAGACCAAGAAUAUACAUGACUUUUUCGGCAUAAAAUAUUACGAUAAUCUGCAAUAAACAUAACUAAUAAGAACCACCAUUAUUUAGAUAUUAACUAGUUAAAGUGAGUCUGUAAAAAACCUAGUCAUACUUUCAUGUCCCUGUUCGUCUAGACAAGAUAAUCAGUGUUUCUUUGUUGUUGUAUAUAAUAAUCGAAUAUUACUUCAAAUCCCAAGUAUAAGACCGCUUUUCACGUGACUGUUAAAGAAAGAACAAAGAAAGAACGAUUCUCAAAAAGAGGUGCCGGCCAGAGUGAAGGCUGAAACUUCACUAUCAAGUAAAAAACAGUAGCAAAUAUCUCACCAACAACAUAACCAAACAAGUCCAAAUCCUUGCUCCAAUUAGAAAUUUACAAUUUUACACGUAUAAGACAUAUAUGCAAAACUUUGCUCAGUUUUUUUUGUCAAAACAAGGAACAGUUGAACAGUGAACCAUUAUGAUCAUUGGCAAGAAGCCGACAAAACAAACUUGUUUUACCUGAUCGUGUACAAGGUGGCCGCAAAACAUAACAAAUUUCAGUCCAAGUAACCACUUUCAGACUGAUUGUUGAAACUGCCAUUGCUUUUCAUGUCAUCAUCCAUCAUUGAAUCACAACAGAAAGUCCAUACUGAGACGCAAUUUUCACGACCUAUAUUUAUAUCAAACACGAUUAAAGUUAUCAAUGGAGAAAAGUAAAAUUAGCGAAAUUACAUUAGGUAGCACAAAAUAUAUAAUGUUUUUUCAUAACUUCCUGAAAUUAUGGUUCACAGAUAAUAUAAAAUUAAAUUACUUCAGUAAAACCAUGCCAAUAAUGAAAGAACCCUUGGCAAGGGGAGAGGGAGGUCUGUAUGUCUAUAAUAGUAUAACAAUACCACUCAAGCACAAUUCUUCAUCGCCGUCGUCUGGAAUUACGAAUCUUCGGUGGCCUGAGGAUGACACGGCAUGGGGUAGAAAUGGAUGGAAUGAGAAACCAUUAACCGUGUCUGCACAACAAACAAUAAAAAAUAAAGCUUAUAGCAGUUACAAAAUGAAAUAUACACAGAAUUUACAACCAGCUGCUGAUUACUAACUUGUAAUAGCUUAUUACGCAUAUAAUUAAAUUUUUAUUAAUGGAAGGAAAGAAAUUUCAAGAAAAAAUAAGGUCCCUACUUUGAUGUCAGUCCAAUAUGCUAAGAAUAUAAAAGUGCAUGUAAAUACACGUGGCAAAACGUUGCCUCUUUAUUUACAAAGGAUUCAAAUUUAGUAGAUGAUCAGAAUCUGAAUAUAGAGACAGAGAAAGAAGAAUGUAGGGUAUGUGCAGAUCAGGAAAUGGUAAUAGGAACUGGGAUAUAUAAACCAAGAACACAAGCAGAUCAUGCAAGAAUCAUCAGUAGCAUGUACUUUAACAGAAAAUUAGUUUUACUGCUAUAAUGUCAUCAUAGUUUGAUCUAUAUAUCACUACGUUGCAUAAACAUGAGGAUGAGGAUGAGGAUAACAACACAGGCAAAACAAUGGGGAAAAUGGAAUUUGGAGGUAAACUAGAAGCAACCUGAAGAUAAACUAAAACAUAAGGAAGGAUGUUAUCAAAAUGACAUGAGCAAAGUUGAAAGAAAAAAUAAAUUGGCAAUUGGGAGGGUGUUAAAGAUAUAAAAUUGCAGCACUACAAAGGUUUAAAUAGUUCAACUAUGGCGUUCAAGAUAUAGUAAGAAAAUAGAUAAUGAACUGAAAUAAUUUGAAAGUACUACAGAACAAUCUGAGAAUAAAUGUACAGUAGAGGUUGCUCUGGAAAGGCAAAAUACUUGAGAAAUUAAUAGAUAAGCCAAAAAAGGGGCACGAAAAAUGCAAUCAAAGCCAAGAUUGAGAAAAAAUACAAGUAUCAACAUACAGAACUUGAGUACCUAAAGCAGCCUCGAAACUUGACACCCACUGCCCAGUUUUAAGAUCAUAAAUAUGUACUAAACCAUCCUGAAACCAAAAAAAAAAUCAUUUAAAACAAAACUUAAUAUUGAUUGACGAUCUUGGAUGUUGCAAGAGGAAUGCUCAAGCUACCUGGCCACCUGUACCAAGAUGCUGUCCAGAAGGGUCAAUAUCAAACAGUAUCCGCUGAUUGGUGUUUUCUGAUGAUCUGUAUAACCUAGUAACAAGGUGCAAAGAUGCAUCCACUCAACUCAAAACAUUUAUACUUAUAGAAUAAAUAGUAAAAGUGUGUCUUUAUAAUAAAAAAUUGAUAAAUAAUAAAAAAUUGAUAAAACAAAGAGAGAUUAUGUGAUUGGAAUCAGUCAAGCUUUCAUAACAAUGGAAAUACACAAAAACACAAUACCAAACAGCAACCUGACCAUGCAAAAAACGAGGGUCUUUGGAUUGACUAUAUGUAGUGCACGCACCAGCACUAGCUAAGGGAUAUGGGAAUUUAGCUUUGGAAUUUACUGGUUCUACCUUAUUAUACAAAGUAUUCAGUCUGUGAGGCAUAUUACUGUGCAUUCCCUCUGAUUGUUAAAAAAUGGAAAGUCUGGAAAUUGAAUAAGGAACUCAUUCUUCAUUUUGAGGGCAUUUUUGUAGUAUAUAGUAGGUUAUGGGUUUUCAUUAUUCUCUUGAACAACAGCUUGCAUCAGUUUUGAUUAACAUAAAGUACGCUUCCAUUUAAAUGCAUGUUAGGAUUAUCUUGUUUGAGCAAAUUGGUUUUGCUUUUGCAGUUUCCUAAGGGAGCUCUUGGGAAAAAAAUAUUUUCUAUAAUUUAAGUUUUCCGAAACAUAAUAUACAAUACUUUUCUUCAAUUUAUACAAAAUAUUCAUAGAUAAACCAGUCAAGGGAAGAUAUAGAAUAGUACUUGUAAACACAAUCAACAGACUUGCGCACAUCCCAGCAGAGUAUAUAAGGGUCCUUCAAUAAAUAAUGAAUGUUAGAAACUGAACUUCAAGUAACAAUCAGCUUGGUAACAAGAAAAUGACUCGUAGUCAAGUCCAAACUCUAGAAUUAGAAAAGAAAAUGUGCAAAUCUUACCUUCCGACCUCCGGUAUACAAAUAAUUUCCAUCUUUGGAAAACUGGACCUGAAGAAGAGAAAACUCUAGGAUUUCAUCUCAAUUUUAUAACGUGAAUAAACUAAUUACAGGAAACCCUAACUUACAUGGGUAAUUCCACCUUCUUGACCAUGCAAAAGGUACAAUUGUUCCAUGUUGUCCUCCCUAUAAAUAGCAGCAGUUUGACUGUAAGAACCCAAAGCUAGCAUCCCAGAAUGAAAUGGAGAAAAAGCCACUGCAGAUAUAAUACCUGCAUUCAUAUAACCUGAAUUAUGUGCAUCUCUUUGUACCAUAGAAUUUUCCCAGACAUUUUAUUUAUAGAUGUUAUUGCUGCUGCCACCCCCACCUUCCCGGCAAAAAAAAAACUUCAGAAGCCCUGAUUUGAAAAUUACCUGUUUGGCCUUCCUUUUUAUCUUUUACUGUUGAAUACAAUUCAAAAUCUCUACCAGGUCGAUGUAAAUCAAACAUCCUAAUACAUUUGUUGUAUCCAGCAAAUAUCCUACAAGACAAGGCAAUAGUUUAAAUAACUUUCACAAACACCUUCAUCACUCAUAAUAAAGUAAACCAAAAAUCAUACCACAUUUUUGAAAAACUGCUCCUAAGCAUUACAUAUCUUCUAGAAUUUUAAUAGUGUAACUCACUUAGGUAAGGUAAAGUUAUUUGCCAAUAGCAUUUGAACAUAAAAACCCAAGGGAUGCCAGUAUAUUCAAAUGCCCUGGUAAAUAUGUUUUAGUGAUUGUGAAUAUAGUUAAAUGUGUCUUUCAUCCUCCAAGAUAUUUUUUAUUUGGGUUUGGUACCUCCCUAUAAAGUUUACGUUCCUUAUCACCACACAUGUCACCUUAUAAUGCUCAUUGAUGUAACAUGGCUACGUCAUCACUAAAAGGCAACAGUCUGGCACAGACCAUUUUUCAAAUUUAUUAGAAAUAAAACCAACAAAAAAUUGAACUGCAAACAAGAUUAGCCAUAUUUGCAAGGAUUAGAAACAUAAGUAAGCAUAAAUGUCCUAGAGAACGUUUAUGAAAACUUGAUGAGGAAAAAUUAUGGGACCUGUGGGCAUGAAAUAUGAGUUAUUAUCAUAGAAAUAUUGUGUUGUGCAUCUACAAUUUGCAAAUUAUUGGUACUUGAAAGAAACAAAUAGCUUACUUAUUCCCUGCAGGAUUAAAAGCAAUUGAAAAAGCAGCUGUAAUUUCAUCCAUUGCAUCAUAUGCCCGAUAUGUGCAACGCAACUGCAAGUUUCACCAAAAACAAUGGUCAAAAACCAUAAUAGCAGCACAAAAACCAUAAUGCACCUUCAAAGCUGCCAAUAAUAUUUGUUCUUAGCAGUAACAUUUGAGAUUUUAAAAAACGUUCCACGACUGGGAUUUUAUUUGCAACAUCAAUGUUUAUGGUGUCCUCAAUUCCAUGCAAUACCAAGUAACGACGAAAUCACAACUGUUACCGUGACCAUUUCUUAAAACAUUGGUAGCAUUACUAACACUUCAAAGAAAAACUAUAUCCCCAUUCAACCAGUGCUACAUUUAUCCGUCACCUUAAUAUUCCAUUCCAUUUUUUAACUUCGAUACUUUCGCAAAUCAUUCAAUGGCUCUAGGACGUCAAACAGUUUAAGCACAAAACUGAAAUGAGAAACAAAGAAAGUACCUGGCCAGAGGUAGCAUCCCAUAAAUGAAUCGGAUGGUCCCGAGUAGUAGUCGCAAAAACAUUGGUCACCAGAUCUUCAAAUAUCCAAUACCAUAGACCGAUUAACACCAUCACUAUCAGUUAUUAAGACGCAUAGAAAACAAAAUAUUUUCUUACCAGAGGAAGACAUGUAAGGAUACCAACAGAAAUCGUGUAUAGACUCUCCUUCAUGCAUGACUACGUUUGCGGCAAAGGAAUCUGCAGACAACAACAACAACAAACAAUGAACACGCGAACUUCAUAUAGCAGUUAAUCGCGUUCGCUUGUUUACAUAUUCGGAACAGCGCGAUUACCGUCGUCGGAAGCAGCAACGGGAGCUUCGCUUUCGGUUCCCGGUCUGCGAGGGGAAAGCGAAGUGAAUUAUUUGUACAGAAUUACAAGAUUAGAUAUAGUGAGAUCGGAAUGGAGUUUGCGAAGAGAAGGCUUACGGCGCGAAGAGGCGGAGAGUAUUGUCCUCGGAAGAGGUGAGGAAGCAAGAACCGUCAGGUGACCUAACAGAGAAGCAGAAGUUGAAUUGGAAAUUGAGAAAGGUAGUAGAAGAUAAAGGAGAGUGAGAGUGUAGCGUACCAUUUAACGGCCUUGUGGAAAUUGUUAGGGUUGGAGGGAGUGAUGAACUGACGGUGGAAAUGGUAGGUUCUGUGAGGAGAGACUUCAAAGCGAAGCGCGGGGAAGGAGUACUCUUCGUUGGUGUUGGUGUUGGCUUCAUUGGAUUCGGAUUGGACCACAUUUUCUUCUUCCAUCGCUACUGCACAACCACGCUCUUUGUGCUGCUACCGGAUUUGCUGAAACCUUUAACUAUAAGCGCCAAAACUCACUCCCUCACACUUCCAAUUUUUUUGUUUUUUUUAAUUAAAAAAAUUAGAUAAAUAAAAUAUAUUUAUUUAUAUCUUAUACCUAGUAAAGCGUUAAAAAAAAUCAUAAUGAGAAGAAGGAAUUGGAGGUGAAUCUUUAACUAUUAUUUUUACACUAAAUAAUUUAUUUACUUCAACACCAGGACUUAUUUAUAAAUGAAUUUUUAUUUACUUCUCAUACAUAUUUCUACUUAUCUUUUAAAGUUUAACGUAAUAGUAGUUGAAUAUGAGAUGUUUAAAUUCUAAUAAGAAUAUUUAAUAUGUACUUUAAGGUUUUCGUAAAAAAAAAAUAGGUUACAUGAGUUUAUGGUUUUUUAUGAUAACUCAAAUUUUAACAAAUUUAUCAACCAACCAGAUGGAUAAGUUUUUAAUUAUUAAUAACCUUAAAAUCAACUUAGGAGAUAUGUAAAAGAAAAACUACAAACACACUUAAAAGAUGAAACAAAAAAUACAAUAAGCACUCAGAGAUAUAAUUUAAUACUCUCAUAGAGUACAACAAAAUAUCACAAAUGAGUUGGAGUUUAUCUAACAAGAAGGUGAACUCAUAAUUCUUUAAGAAAAACAUAUAACCUUAAUUGAAAAACCACAAUAAAAAGUAUACUAACUAGUUAUUAAUGGUGAUUAUGCAUAAUCUGUGUAUAAUAAUGUCUCUCAAAUUAAAAUGAUAAUUAGCUCAUCAAGUUUAACACUUACAUUCAAAGAAAGAACAAAAGAAAAGGAGUCUCAACAUCCAGAGAUAGUUAUAGAAUCUCAUCUACCUUCAUAACCAACAAUUGAUCAUUCACACCAAAUGACUCUCCAACAUGAUUUGGGAAAGGAAGAGUAUUCUCUCAUGGAGAAUACCAUGAAUGUAUCUCUCCCUUUAAUCAUGGAGAGUUAUGGUGGUUCAACAAAUUCUAACAACCAUGUUAGACCAUACAAAAUGCAAGGUUAGCCUCUACACCAACAAUAUCCUAUGUACAUGCUCAUCAAAGGUGAUACUUCUUAUAUCAUUCUCAGCAUAAUGCAAACAAUAAACCUACUAAAAGUCAUCAUAUUCAUUCCACACAGAACCAUGCACUUAGCAAUUAAGCUAAACUUCAUUAUAUAAUCCAAGGACACACCACAAUGCAAUCACAUUCAAUUUCGAGAAAAACCAACUUUCAUUAUGAGUUAAUUAAACUACUAUAUGUUAACAAAUUGAGACAUCAAUGUCGCCUUAUGAUGAUAUGAUAGAUUUAGUAUUAAAUUGUUAUACUUUGAUAGUUUCUUUUAUAUAUUUUGUUACUUUCUUGGAUUACUAUUACGUUUAGUUUUAACUCAAUGAAGAAUUAUGUAAUGAUUAUUUUCCUAAUUAUGUAGCUUGGAAAAGAGUUAUACAAUAAAACAAACAUUGAGUAAUCAAUAAUGAAUCAACUAAAAAAUGAGCUAUAUAGUAGUAAUACUUGAAAACAAGUGUUAAGUAUUUCACAAUUAGACUAAUAAAAAAAUGUUAUACAAUAUAAAACUUUAAUCACUAAACCCUAAAACCUUAAAAAUAAGUGUUAAUAACUCAAAAAUUGAUCUUAACUUGCAAAUUAAUUAUUAUGCAAUUAUUAGGAAAAAAGUUCUAUUAUUGAGUUUUAUUAUCAUUGAGUUGCUUGACCAUUUGUUAGAAGUUUGAUAACGAUUCAUCCAACAUGUUUUGUAGCACAAAUAGAUAAACUAAUUCAAUAUCCAUAGGUUGAACGCGAGUCAGGAGACAAGUCCUGAACUGAACUCUAGAAUUUAGAAUGAACAUUUUAUUAAAUAAUAUACAUAUAAAUAUGUAGAAUGAACAUUUAUCCAUAGAAAAUUAUUAAAUAGAUUGGUUGGUUUUUGUAAAACAUUUUUAUCAUAUAUCAUAAAUGGAUAAAUAGUUUAACUUUUACCUAUCCAUUAUAAUUUAAUUUUAAUUUAUUAUCCACUCAAGACCCUGUCUUGAUUCAUGACCUUAUCUUUUAAUAGAGAAAAAACAUAACAGUUCACACAUACAGAAGCCACGUAGGAUACAGAAAAAAAUGUCAGGAACUCAAUUAAAGAUCUAAAAUUCUCCAAAAUAGGCAAGUUAGAUAGUGCAAGGCAAACGAUGCCUUUUUUUAAGUAUUUACUACGCAUGUUCCAAAUCACAUUGCAUUAUGUCACUGAUGCAUAUGAAUCAUAGGUAAUAAGGGUAUAAUAUGCAAACUUAUUGAGUGGAAUAACUGGAAUGUACGCUUACAACAAUUAACACCUGGGAUUUCUUAGACAAGAAGCUGUGAGAUAAAAAAAAAAGGUGUACUAAGAGCUUCUCAGAUACGAAUCAUUCUUAAAACUUGAAUAUGAGGGAAGAUCAAGAGCCCUUUCAGCGACUCUGCGGUCUUCAUGAAUUUUAGCUACCAAGCUUUCAAGGGAUGGGAAAUUGGCCUGUUAUGCACAAUGGCCAUUAGUGAAACUUUCUAAGUAUACGGGGGACAGUACAAUACAAGGAUGACAAAGAAAAAUUGUAGGAGAAAUACUCAUUCAGUUAAUACCUCGGGACGUAUGUAACCAACUAUAACAAGCCGCAGUUCUUCCCCAUAGAAAUUCUCGUUAAAGUCAUGAAGUAACCAUGGUUCCUACAGUAAAAAGGCAGAAUAUAAUAUGAAAAUUCAUUGGUAAAUAUAGUUAUAGUUGGGGGUAGAUAAUAACACUUACUAUAGUCUUUUCUUUGUUGUUAUAAUAUGGAUUCCAACCAAUGCUCAUCACCAUUUUAAAAACACCUCUUGCUGGCAAUCCAGCCCAACCAAAAUAAACUCCCGCAGGAUGUUCUGAAAGGAGAUCUGAAUAUCCCUUUGUCGAUAAAUUUGCUGGAAGAAAAUAGUGUACACAUUACUAUUAAUAUAAAAAUACACCAAAGAUUAUUUAAGACAGUAUAAUAGACCAGCAAUUGUUCAAAAAAUAAGUUGAAACAAAGUACAAACCUGUAGGGAUCCCAAGUUCCUUCGAGCCACGACCAAAUCCCUUGACAACAGGACCACCAAUAUACCAAGGAUCUAGGGGCAAAGUUCCCUCCACCCCUGCAGUAAUUUAGAAUACUAGUUCAAAUAAAAGAAACACUAACAAAUGUAAAGAGGACUAUCUUAAAGUAUUUGGGGUUUACAAUCUUCAAAGGGAGGCAGACCCCACUUUUCGAGUUGCAAAUCAAGUAGGGAAUUGAUCACCUCAUCUGCUGCGGUGUAGAGAUGCGACUGUUUUGGAAGUGAUGGUACAGCAACUACUUUCAUUUCAGCAGUUUUACCUGCAGUAACCCCAGGUCUGAAGUAGCGAAGUAUACAUGUUUUUAGAAAGAUAUGAAGGAAAAAAAAGUGUCCAGAAGGCAUAGAGAAAAAAAUCUAGGAUAAAAAUCGUCAUUCAAUUUUAGAAACCUGGUGGGAAAUAAGCAGGCGAUCUUUGGCUAUUAUAAAUUAUGCUAUGAUAUUUACAACAUGAAUCACUGUGGUCAAUAGGGAGAGGGGUAACCAUAAUGCAGUAAGAGUUAAACAGUGAUUAUUUUGUCUACCUUUUCAAAGAUACAAAUAACUUGAAAGUGAAAGAAGAAUCCUUUAAAAUUAAUAUUUUAAACUGAAUUCCCAGUCCAGCUCAAAGUAUCAAAGGGUAGGUUUGUGGGAUGGAGACAUAGUUUUAGAAAGUGGUAAGAAGUAAAGACCUAAAUCAAUUAAGCAAGGAGAUACCGAAAAAAUAAGUUUUAAUCGUAAUAGAGAAAAUGCUAAUUCAACCUGAGCACAGAUGCACAAAGGACUGUUAUGAAGGAAUUUUAUCAGGAAGAAGUACAGUACAAGAAGCAGAGUUACAAUACAACCUUUUGUUUAGUCCAUGUUUCCAUGUAAUUUUGGAGGUCGAUCAUAGGAUUGCAUUGGGUAUGAGUUCAAUCAGGUGUUAAUUGUUGUUCUCUAUUAGCAUGAAUGGGGUUUGGCCAAAUUGAUGGGUAUUUUUUACAUUAGAGUGGUGUUGUGCUGGGACAAAAAUUUGUUUCAUAUUCCCAUGGUUUAUUGAGAAACAAAUAUUUAAAAUAUUGUCCUAUAUUUAUAUUUCAUCAUUUUUUUUGUUCUUUCCCAUGACCAUUUUAAAAUCAAAACAUAGAACAAGCACUUUUGUGUUUCCAAUCCUCCUUUCUUAGCAAACCAAACACACUCAUCAUAUACACACACUGCACCUGGUUAAACUCUCACAAAUAUCAUCAAAUACAAUAACCGUGUUUCACUUCCUCAAAAACAAACUACCAUCCCUAGGUAAAAUGCAUGUAAUUAUGACUGGCAAAUAUAUCAAAAUAACAGUCAUCCUCAGCCAAAGGGGGUUCAUUUACUUCAAAUCCAUAGAUCUAAUUACAAACUCAAAAUUCUCAUCCUAUAAGGCUACAAAACCCAAACAGAAUCUUUAGCGAAGGAGAGAAAUUUAGAGAUUCCCCCAAAAUGUUUAGAACUUUUUUUUUCCACGAAGAGACCAAAAGGAAAAGGGGUUAUCUUUAUAUUUUACAAAUGUAAUUAAUAGGAUUACAAUAAUUUUAAAAAGUUUCUCUUUUGAAAUUUAUUGGGGAUAAAAGCAAAUAGCAACCCAUCAGAAAGCUUAACCAUCAAAGAAGACUUAAAACUGACACAGGAAAUCGUGUGAAAGAUUCAGUACCAGGAGAGAAGACAGGAAUCAAGGAACUCACAUGGAAUCUUCAAUGACAAGACAGCUGGAGGGCUCAAUGCCUAACCUCCUAGCAGCUUCAAGGAAUCUAACACCACAACACAAAAUAUAAAAGUUUUAGGAGACGGAGAUCUUUCAAAAGUAGUGAUCAGGUGACCUCAGUAAUCUAAGCUAGAGAAUACAUUACUGCAUCUCACAUUUCAGGGGAAGGUUUCCCUGUUCUUACUUCAUCUCCACCGAUUAUAACAGAGAAAGAAUUCUUCAAUCCUGCACGCAAAGAAAAUAAAAGAACAAACAAGCCCAUACUUACAUUAACACACAAAACCAAAGGCAAAAGCAACAGAAGAAGCCAAAGGUUCCUGAAAUAGACCAACCAUCAUGAUAUGAUAUUUUGGCUUCAACGUUUUGCCUUGGAGAGUUUGAGGCCAAGGCCAUUGGAACUCCAUGACUCUUCAAAUGUUUAAUCAAUCGAUUAGCACCAGGAAGUGCUUUAAUGUUGCACCACCUAAAAUGCCAAUAGAACAUAAAAUUUAAGAAAAAAAUCCCUCAGAAAUUGGAAAUACAAGCUCAAUAUCUCCGGCUCGAACAAAGAUUUCAGACAAAAGAUUACUAGUUUCAUCUCAGGACAAUGUAUUAAUAAAUUUUCAGGGGUGAAUCUCGGGUGGAACUCUACCUUCACAAAAAAAAGUUAUAAAUUUGCAUUCUCUAGCUCAUAAGUUCAGUAAUCCAAUAUUAUUAACUCAUUGAUAAUUAGUUGGUACUAAGCACACGGCAUUUCACAUUCAAAAUUCAAUCGACGAGAUAUCUCUACGCAUAGUCCAAACACAUAAAAAAGCUUAUGAAGAAUGAUGUAACAGAUUAUUACUGGUCAGAGAAGAGAGGCGCAAUUUCAGAGAGAAAUUCAAUCGUCGAGCAGGAAAGUUCAUACUCCUGCACAACCGCAGCAGCGGCUUCAAACGGUGUCGUUCCUAUUAUUUUAUGAGUUUCUCUACCGUCCCAUUCCUUUCCGUACUUACCUAACAAAACCUUCAAAACGUUGCCCACGAUGCCAUCUGCAUAAAAUCAUUCACAAUCGCCAGCGUUAUAGAAUAAAGCCCCAAUUACGAAGAAAAAAAUGCAGCUCCUCGAUUACAUGCUUCAACUGUGUGAGCAAAGACGAAUAUUCUGUGUUGACGAAUGGCAACAAACCUGUGUUGAGCAGCGUGCCGUCCAAGUCAAGGAUAACACAUCUAAUCAACUUCUUUGCAACCGACAUUUUCUCGAUGAAAUUAAGCUCAGAGAAUUGUUGAUUGAAUCGAAGCAGGAUGAAGAGAGUGACGGAGACGCACCAAAGAGAGCUUCGGAGAGCGUGGUUGGAAUUCAAAGUGGAAGCGUCUUCGCUGCAAUUGCGCUUUGUGGGACAGAGCAAGAAAACCUUCGGAGUUCUCCAGAGAGCACGAAGAGCACGGUUGUUACACACGAUGAUGCCAAUACCGGGUCCGUUUGGCUUUUCUGUUGCAUUACUGCAUUUUCUUUUAACUUAUUUCUUUCACUAACUAAACUAGUAAUUGCUUUGUUGCAUUAUUUUUUUUUUAUCUCCUUUAAAAAAAUAGUUUAAUUUUUAUAUAUAAGAAAAAAAUGUUGUUUUGUAAUAACUUUUAACUGUAAAUAUAUUUAAAUUAUCAACCAAGUUAAGUUUAAGCUAUAAAAGAAUAGAGAUAAUUAAAUUAAUAAAAAUAUUUUGUUUACUUAUUUUAAAAACAUAAAGAAUUAGAUCAUUUAAGUAAGGUGUUAAAUAUUUUAAGAAAAUAAGUAAAAUCUUGAACUUAAGUAUAAUAGACCAAGAAAACAUGAUUAAGAGAACAGUGUCAUGCCCGUGUCUUUCACUCUCUCUCCAUCAUCCCCCAACACCAUUAGUGUUCAUCGGAACCUUCUCAAAACAAAUCCCUUGGGUUAAGAUUCAAUGAAGAAGUUAUUGAACUAAUUUCUGCGGAUUGAACUUUGGGAUUCUCUAUUUGGGAUUCUUUAGGCGAUCGAGUUAAAUAACAUUAAUGAAGGAUUAUCAAGUCAAAUAACAUUUACAAAAUGUAAUAAAAAAAAAUAUUUCAACUACAGUUGAUGUUGAAUGAGUCAAAUUCACACUCCGAAAUAUCCAGGAAAUAUCUCAAUGUAACAAUGGAAACUGACUAAAUCGAAAGAUACACUUCUACGAUAUCAGGGAGCCACUACGCAUGAUCGUUAUUAACUGGCUAUCCAGCCCACACAAAAAGGAACCCAUAAGUCAACCUAUAAGUAGAACUCUUGAGGGUGAGAAAGGUACGUUUUUCUAUAUUUCACAAGAACUCACCUAAAUCCUAACACUAACAAGUGUCGGAGUGCAAUCGCAGAUACUUCGACCGGUGAAACGUCUACAUAGAAAGAAAUAAUCUUGAAGAAACUCGAAGAUAACCGACACGUCAACAAAUUGUGUACCCAGAGGACAGGUCUUGCCUAGACCCCUACUCCAUACAGGUAAAGAUCCUAUUAAGAUUGAAAUUAUGGCAGCUCCACUCCGUCAAAUACUAGUAGUUCUUUUGAAUUAAAUUGAAUAUUAAAAAUGAACUACAUUCAUGCGUAUGAAGAUAAAAAUUUGAAAUGUAUAUAUCUGUAUUUCAUGUUGCUAAAAAUAAAAUAAAGAUUUUAAUCCACAAAUAUUUGUUAAUCAUUGAUAUUUUCUAACCUUCUUAAAAAUAGAAUGAAGAUUCUAAUUUGCAGAUAUUUGUUGAUCAUUUUUAAUAUUUUUAAUCAUUUAGGUUUGCUAACAUACAAGAUAAAUUUUUUGAAUGUGGCUUCAAUGGUGUUUUCAAACAACUACAAGCCUUAUAUCUAAAUGCCAACCUCUCCCUCGCAAAUCCUAUAGUAUAGUAGUUAACGGUUAAACUUUUUACAGAUAAUUUUUGUAUUUUAAAAUCUAUCAAUGAGGAGUUGAUAGUGGACUCAUACCUCAUAGAUCCAUUAGAAAGACAUUCAAGUUCAUAUAGUUAAAAGAUUUCAUCUAAGAAUGUUAUUUAUGAAUGUUUGUAUGUUAGCUUAGUCAGUUGUCCACAAAUGAAAAAUGAUUUUUAUAAGACCUCUGGUAAAAAGAAAAUAAUAGAGAAGUUUUAUUUUUAAGAUAGUUUUUCCAGGGGGCAUUAACCCAUAUUCCGUAGGCCUUGUGUUCGAUAUUCGUCCUUAGGGACAAUUAUUACUUCUGACAAUGCAGUGCACUUGUCGUAGAAAGUCAUAAAUUGAAACGGAUGCCUCCAAUUCUACCAUAGGCACGGUUCUCUCCCAAGCUGGUCAUCCCAUGGCUUUCUUCAAUAAGAAGUUUUGUCCAAAAUUGCAUAAUAAUUCAGUGUAUGUCAAAGAAAUACUUGCAACCAUUGAGGCAGUAAAAAAGGAGAGACACUACCUAAUUGACACUCAUUUCCAAAUUAUCACAUAUCAACAAAGUCUCAUGGGGUUACUUACCAAGGCAUGUUUUACACCAAAGCAACAAAAAUAGGCUACCAAACUCAUUGGUUACAAUUUUGAUAUUUUGUAUUGUCCAAAUCGCCACAAUUAAGCAGUUGAUUUCCUCUUUCGGGUACCCGCUUCAGAUUUUUGGCCAUCUCCUCCCCAAUCCCAAAAAUCCUCAUGCAAUUAAAAAAAAAAUUACCAGUCAAAAUUGGGGAUACAGGAAGUACAAAAAGUUAUAGGUUCUGAAAACACAACAUAUACCUUUCAAAUGACUUUUUGUAUCACGGUCGAAGACUAUAUGUGCCACCCAUAGAAUCUCUACGCACCAUCAUACUUCACGAGUUCCAUGCCACCCUUAUGUUGGACACUCAGGCCUUAAAGCCACCGUGGCUCGCCUAGCCGCGUCAUUCUAUUGGCCAGGGAUGUAUAGAGAUGCCAAAUUGUUCAUCAAACAAUGUCUUCCUUGCCAACAAAUAAAUCAGUCAACACCAAACCUUUAGGUCUUCUACAACCCAUUUCCCUACUAACCCAAAUUUUGGAUGAGCUCACCACAUAUUUCAUAACACACUUAUCCUCGUCUUUUGGCCACACGGUGAUUUGGGUUGUAUGUGACCGUUUGUCUAAAUUUUCCCACUUCAUAGCACUCCCCACCUCCUUCACCGCAUCCCAAUUGACUAAUCGUUUUUCUGUUGAGAUUUGCAGGUUGCAUAACGUUCCCAAAUCCUUCAUCUCCGAUAAAAACCCACUAUUCCUCAACAAUUUUUGGAAGCAACUUUUUCACCUACAAGGCACCAAACUCAAUUUUAGCAUCGCAUAUCAUCCUCAAACAAAUGGUCAAACAGAACUUUUAAACAGAGGAUUAGAAAUUUACCUUUGUUGCUUCGUAAGUGACCAUCUGAAGACAUGAUACAAGUACUUACACUUUGCCGAGUUUUGGUAUAUCUCGUCCUACCACAUCGCAAUCAAUACUACAACUUUCCAAGCGGGGCAACCUCCACCUUCCAUACCAAAGUACGUUCUUGGCACGACAACGGAACCAGCUCUCGCCACCACCUUACAAGGGCGCACACAGGUAAUGCACCAAUUGAAGAUCACCCUCGCUGACAUUCAACGUCACAUAACCCAAAUCGCAAACAAAUCACGACGACAUCACGUUUUCAACGUUAACGAUUGGGUGCUACUACGACGACAAACAUACCAACAAUUGUCCCUUUCUUCCGAGCCUCACCACAAACUCACUCGAAAUUAUUAUGGUCCAUAUCGCAUCACCAAACGCAUAGGAGAGGUUUCUUACAAACUCGCCCUCCCUUCCUUGUGUAAAAUUCACCUCGUCUUUCACAUUGCAUUACUUAAACCUUACCACGACCAUUAAAACCCCACCCCACACCACCCCGACGACACCACUCUGAUUUUUCCUCCACCUCCCAACACUCUUUACGACUCAUAACUCAACCCACAACACUCAAAAAAUAACUUAAACCAUUUAGACUCUUUACUUCCUCCUCACACGACAUCCUCACCUAACAUCAACGAGAUUUCCGCUACCAGUGUCCACCUUCAAGGGCCACUAUUGCACGACCCUUCACUUAUCACCUAACCCACCCACGUGUCAUUAAUGUUAUAGCUGGCGCGCAUUUACCCUCUCCAACCUUUCAAAUUCACCCUGAUUCAACUCUAACUCACUUAAACACCCCAACCCAACCCACAACUAAAACAACCACAGUCUCACCAACCACACACCCCCCUCCACCGAUGCACCUUACUCAACCUAACAACAUUCACUAGCCCAUUCAAAUCUCUCCACAAAAUCAAAUUCAGUCCCAACAUCAACCCUACAUACCUCACCCACGGCUCAACCAGAGAUUCUUAUCCAAUCCUAACCCAUUGAUAAUAACACCUUCUCACUCUACACUCAAAGAACCCAUCACGGACCCACAACCUCUUCCAAAUGCCUUUUCCAAAUCCACAUCCAACAACCUCGAGGACAAGGUUGCUCUACAGGGGACAACAAUUGAUAAUGGGCUCAUACCUCAAAGGCCCAUUAGAAAGACAUCCAAACCCGUAUGGCUAAAAGAUUUCAUAUAGGAAGGUUAUUUAUGAAUGUUUGUCUAUUUGAGAGGAUCUUGGAAGAUCUUUAUGUUUUAAAUUUUUGUUAGCUUAGGCCAUCUGUCCACCAAUAAAAAAUGAUCUUUAUAAACCCUUUGAUAAAAAGAAAAAGACAGAGAAGUUUUAUUUUUAAAGUAGUUUUUUCGGGGGAUGUUAACCCCUGUUUUGUACGCCUCGUGUUUUUCUUUUCUUUUUAUGCAACCGCGUAUCAUGUGUUUAUAUUUUUUAAGUAUUUAUGGGUAGUGUAAUUCUCUCCUACACAUGGUUCGACUCUGUAUGACUCAAAGAAGACUUACUACUCUCAAUAUCAAAAACUUUAUUCAAAUGACUACUUCCAACAAAAGAGUGAGGGUUAUGUUAAAACAACAAAUAAAUAAAGUAAAACGUUUAGGAAAUAAGAGAUGUCCACAUAUAAAAACUCACUUGACUAAAGUUAUUAAUUAAUAAUAUAAGAUAUUUGUAAAUAUAAGAGAGUAUGAAGAGGUUAGUUAGUACUUCCUUGAAGUCAUGUAUUUAUGUAUGCUGAAUAGACGAUUAAUAAAAUAUUAAAAUGACUAUUAUGAUCAUAAUAUAGUCAUUUGACGUGUAAAAUGUCUUAAUUGCUCGGUUAUAAUAUUAAAUAUUUGAUUACCAAGUUAAAUGUAUUGUAAUAAACAACCAAUGUAUUUUUCUUUAAUCAUUUUUCUUUAAUCAUAAGUACAUGUAAUAUAAGAUAAAAAUCUAAGAAGACAUAAAAGUCAUGAAAACUCAUAAAUCAUGUAUAGGCACAAGAUAAAAGUCAUAACUAAACUUUAGAAUCACAACUAUGUAUAAAAUCACUCAAGAUUAUGUUGUUAAAAUUGUUAAAACAUACAAAUUAAGAAAUGAAUUUUAUUAAAAAUAUGAUUUAUUAAAUGAUGAUGUCUGAUAUUGCUAUAAAGUGAAAAUUGAAAAUUAGCUAUAUAUAUUGUGAAUUCUUAACUAUUAAAUAAAAGGUAGUAAAAUAGUUGAAUAUUAUUUGAAUACAUGAAAGUGAAGCCAGAUAAAUAAAAAAGAAACUAAUUUUCUUUUAAGAGUAAUAGACCCAUUUGUUUAUUCCAGCAUAGGAAGCAAUUGAAAUAAUGCAAGAUGGAGAAAUUGUCGUUUCUCUUUUUUUGUAUAUUUAUUGAUUUGGACUGUAUAUUGUCUUUUUUAUUGGAUUAGUGACUCAACACAUAUCACUUCACCGUUCACGCACACCCAUCGGCCACAAAGGUACUGAUUUAAUUGGUAUGCUUUCCUUGCACCAAUUGGUCAUCGGUAUAAAUGUUUUAUAUUUAGUAUUUUCAUGAUUCAAAAUUAAGUAUACUCAAUCAAACUUCUUAUUUAUUGGAAUUUCAGCAUUGAUUUUUGUUGUUCAAUCCAUAUUAACUCAACUCAUCCAUUGUAUUACAUAUUUUAAAAUUUAAUUUAGUGUUCGUACAUGUUUGUAAAAUAUAAAAAUUAAGAAAAAUUGCUUAUGUUAUAACACAGUAUUUUCACAAUAUCUUUAAUAUUCCUGAAUUACUUUUAUAUAAGUGUUUAAAACUUUUAUCCAAUUAUUAUUUCAAUUUAAAACUCUAUAAACUCAUUUUUCUUCUGAUCUUUCUAAGAGUAUUUAUUGUUUAUUUUGAAAAAUAAGUAUGAGUAAGAUACUUACUCUUUUAUUUAUUUUUUACAUAAAAUUCAUGCACUCUAUAAAAUUAGAUUGAUUAACCUCUUGUCUUUCUUAUAGAUUUUAAUUUCACUUUUCUAAUGGAAUUUAGUUUAAGGAGUCAAUAAUUUUUUAAAAUUAUGAUUAUGAUGACAUAAGGUGAGUUGCUUGCCUAUGUAAUAGAGAAAUGUAAAUUAUUAUAUAAAAUAUCAUGAAAUUAUGUGUAAUAUUUUUUAUAAAAGUAGAAAUACGAGUAAAUAUGUUUUAACUCUCCAUUUUCGAUUUUUUUUGUUGGAAUUUGAGGCAAUAUUAUCUAAUGUAGUAAAUUAAUUAUAAACCUUUUACUUUCCAACCGACUCCUUCAAACUUUUAUAUUGAUUGUGCCUCUAUAUGUGAUUAUGCAUAUUUUCAAUCACAUUUGCUGAUAAAAAAAAUCACAUUAUUAUUAUUAUUAUUUUACACUUAUGUAACUAAAGAAAUACCUUAGCUUAUAUCCGUUUUAUAGUUUUAAUAUUUCACUAUGUAUAAUAUUGAAUUUAAAUAUUUUCGUAUAUAAAAUUUAUAUCUCCAUAUUAGUUGAUUGAUGCCUAUAGGAGUGAUGACAUGCUUUCUUUCACACCAAGUUUUAUCAAUUGAUUACAAAGGUAAGUAAAGCAUAAUUGUUGAGAAGAUGGUGAUUUUUUAUUAUAGUGUACGUGUUGUCCAUUUCUCUUUCGAAUUUCUUUCAAAUUUGGGCAUUUAUAGAAUGGAUUUUUCUGAAACGAAACUCUCUCCAAAUAUUAUCUCCAAAUAUUUUUCAAAAUGAUUACUAAUUCAAUAAAAUAUUUAUCCAAGGAUCUGUUGAUGACACAAUAAGUAAUAAUUUCUGAUUUGAUGGAAGCUCCUAAAAGUACACAGUUAUAUUCUUUUUUAUGUAUUUGAUCAUGUUAGUUUAAUAAUUAAAAUGUUAUUAUUGUUGUUCCAAAUCAUUGAAAGCAUAAAUGUCAUAAUUUGGUUUUAGCAAAGAGUAACUACGGUUAUAGAGGAAUGUGAUUGAUUUUGUUAUACUUAAUUUAAUUGUUAUAGAAAAUGUUUAAACAUCGAUUAAUUCUUUUUCCUUCUAUUACUUUUUAAAUUUUCAAAUGUGUCCCAUACUAAAAAAAAUCAUUAUUAAAAAAUAUUCAUUCCCUAAUAUUUAUGACACAUUAAAUUAAUUUAAAAAAUAAUUAAUUAAUAUAUAGUCCGCAAAUGAUUAACGCUGACAUCUUGCUACAUUUAACAUAAUUUUUUAUAAAAUUUGAUGUUAUAUAUAUAUAUAUAUUUUCAAUUUGUUAUGUAAAAAAAAGUAUAUAUAUAACUAAAACAUCGACCAAAUGAACCGGAAAUUUAUUUAGUAUUUAGGGUUAGGAUAGGAUGUAAGUUUAACAACUUACAGUAGUGAUAAAGAUGAAACUACUCAUCUUACAUUCAUUGAAGUUAUUCAAACAUGCAACACUGUGAUGAUAGAAUACUAUAAGUACUCCUCAUUUCUUCACACGUUUAUUCACUUGGAAUUGGAUUAAAAUAAAGUUCUGGGUUUCAUGGUGCAACUCAAAUCUCUCCAUCCACGCACACCCAUUGACCAACAAAGAUAAAGUUGCAGUUUAUAUUGGGGUUGAUACCAAGGAAGUGACGCUCUUGUAGAUUGAAACCUUGAAAGAUGCUGGUGCAAGUUUCACCUUCUUCCACGCCAUGAACAUCGUUGCAUGUUACACCUUCAACUACAAAUUAAAUCCAAAACAAAUUUUAGAUAACGAUUUAUUUGAAACUAUCGUGUUAUCCCUUAGUAAAAAGAGUAAUUGAAGCAGUUGAUUUACCCGCUGGAGUUAGAACAAGAAGGAACAUAACGAGAAGAGAUAAGAAUAUAAGAGCAGAGCUGGUGAUUGUGGACUUCAUUCUUCCAACCUCUUUUUCAAUUAUCUGACUCUAAUGUUAUAGAGGUGUGUGAUUUUAGUAUCUGUGGUUUUUAGUUUAUAUAGUAGAUAUGAAUUCAAUCUGCACAGAAAAAAUAGCUUUUGAGACAAAUCAUUUAUAAUUUAAAAACGAAAGCCUGUUUAGUGUUAAUUUCUAGGCAUAAUUAGCAUAUAUUAUAUUGGAUGUUAUUGACAUUGGUGGAUACGUCUGGCAAUGUGCAUGUUGUUUGUUGCAGGCCAUAAAAGGUUCAAAAUCUCUCUUACUAAUGAUAUAGUGCAUAUAUAUAAGUGGAAGAAAACAUUCUUUCUUUUUAGUUCAAUUUAAUAUGAAAAAUGAAAUAGGCUUGGAUUUGUUUUUUAUUAUGGUAAUUAAGGUUUUUCUUUUUCUUUAUCUUAUAUAUUUUUUAAUUUGCUUAUUUGAUUCUCAUAGCUAUAUAACUAUUUCCUUUUGGCUUUAAUGAUAGAAUUUUUUUCAUUAAGUUCUUAUACAUACUAUUUUUUUUAGUUUUUGUGAAUUUAAACUGUGGAAACCAAAAAUGAUUAAUGAUAUGUAUAUAGAGUCAACAAAGGAUCAGUUGGGUUUAAAAUGUUAGACUUUCGACUGUACAAUAAGCUCUAUUUGAUUUGAAAGAUCGAACUAUUUUUGAUGAUUUUUUUUUGUUAAUACUAUUAUAUUAUAUUACAUUGAAUAUAUAUCUACAUACGAAGAAAAUAUAUGAUGUAUACAUUUCAUUUUACCUUUAUAACUAUUAUUAUUUAUUUUUUAGAGGUUUAUUUAUACUCCCGUAAUUCAAAAUUACUCAGAUAUUUCAAUAAUAUGCCACACAUCUUCAAAUUGUUCACAAUUUUUUUUAUAAAAACUUUCAUAAGUUAUUUAUAUUUUUAAUAAAGAACUUAAAAAAAAAAAACUAGAUAAAAACAUGUUAUACCAAUGAAAAUAUUAUCUAUGAAUAAAACUUAAAUUAUACUACAUUUUGCCACUUUUAUUUUAACUAUUAUUAUAAAUUUUGUUUACUGUAAAAAAACAUAUAAAGACACUGGUUUACUAUAUGUAUCAAAAUUAUAUAUUUAUUUACCCUUCUAUUAACUAUUUGAUGAAAAUAAACAAUCAAACUUAUAUGUUAGUUUAUAUUAUAUAUAAUAAUAAUAUACAGUAUAUAUACACAAAUAAUUACAUGAUAAAAUAAAAUAAGAAAAUUGUAAUUACUAAUUGGCCUCUUUUAGGCCAAAAUUACAAUAAAUGUAUUAGUUUUCUUAAACGUCUUAUAACAAAAUAAACUGGUAUGUAAUAUUUUUUUAAAGGUCCGGUAAAUUUCAUAUAUUUUAGAAAUGUCUAUCACAAGAAAAUAAAUAACUGAAAAACUUAAGUUCUGUUUUCUUAAGUUCAAACUACAGUUUAACACAGUUCGAUUAAAAUUAAUAUUUUUAAACAGAGAGACCAAAACUAAAGUUUGUACAACUGUAGGAGUUAAAUAAAUAAUAAACAUUUUUGACAUUGAUAAAUUUUAUUACUGUGAUUAUGAAUGAAUAAUUCGAGAUAGUUAAAAAAUAAUUUUAAAUUAUGCACUGAAAACUAAGAGAUAUUAUAUUACACAAUUUUUAUUUUUAAAAUAGAUUUAAUCGCUAAAGUUCUUUCAUUUUGGACUGCGCUCUCAAACAUAUUGGGCUUCUAUUAAACGAAACAGUUUAAAAAUAAGAAGAAUUUAUAGAUAAUAAAAAAGUCAUAUUUAAAACCCUAAUUUUAAAAUUAAAAACUUAAAUUAAGCAUCCAUUUCACACAAAAAUGUGAUGGUUCGGUAAAAAUAACAAAAUUUCAGUUUUUCGUAAUUCAUUUCCUUCCCUCCUUAGCAGUCAUUCAAACGUAACGCAAAUUCAUCUGAAAAAAACCCGACACCGGAGGCUCCAUCUUUUGCCGCGAGCGCCACUUCAAUAUCUCAUCUGUAAUAACUUUCCGUCAUUAUCAUUUCUUCUAUUCCAUUUCUUUCAAUAUUUAUUGUUCCAUUUCUCAUUUCUUAACCACCCUCACUUCACUGCUUAGGGUUUUACUUCACUCACGCCAUCCACACUUUACUUCCAUUAAUUUUGCUGAAUCACUCUGCAUUUUGAACUUUAACGGAAGCUCGGUGUUUCCGUUAGACAUGGAAACCGAUGAAUCCUCUCGCGUGCUUCCCUUCCAGCUUCAAUUCGAUAAACCCCUCGCUUCGCAGGUUUUGUGAAUUUAACUUUCACAUUCGUGUCACUGUUAAAACAUCUCCAUGCCGUUUGAAAAGCUUGUUAACUUUUAUGAAUGACUUUUGAAUCAUAGAUCACAAUCGCGGAGUGGAAUCCCGAGAAGGACUUGCUCGCUAUGGUUACCGACGACUCCAAGAUCCUGCUCCAUCGUUUCAAUUGGCAACGCUUAUGGACCAUAGCUCCAGGUCUCUCUCUCCCUAGUUUUCUUCUGUUUAUUUGAUUUUAAGUUGAUGGUGAAAAUUGCUUAUACUUGAAUGUGCGGUGUUUAUAAUGCCUUGUGAAGUGCUUAAAAUUUGGAAAUGCCUUGAAACGAUGAGCCACGUGUUGUUCUGGCUUUUCGUUAGGAUUUCGAAGUUAUAGUAGUGUACUAAUGGAAUGUUUCUUUUUCCUGUAGGAAAAUGCAUCACAUCCUUGUGUUGGCGUCCUGAUGGAAAAGCAAUUGCUGUUGGGCUUGACGAUGGGACGGUAUCACUGCAUGAUGUUGAGGUGGGUACUGGUUGUAUUUUUCGUAACUAAUCUUUUUAGUCAGUUUUUCUUGAUUAUUUAUUUAUUUAUUUUUAUUUCUGAUACUUCUGGUUAUGUUUUGUGUUAAUAAAUGUUUUAUUUGAUAUGAUACAUCUAAAGGGAAAAUGUAUGUUGGGAGUUCCAGGACUGACUGUUUAUUAUUAGGUGUACAGAUUAAGCAAGCUACUUAAUGUUAGUCUCACUUAUAAUUCAUGUAGAAUUGAUCCUCUUGCUGUGUGCUUUUACCAUUUUGAGACAUUGUUGAAUAUUCCACUAAUACUGGUCUUAACCGAGGAUCAAGGCUUCUACUUGUUCAAGAUUACUUUCGUAAUACGAAUUUUGAAAAUUGCUAGUCUAAAACAAGUAAGCAAUUGGAUAUUCUUCUAUCUGAGGAAGGGUUAUCAAUAAAAGGUCAACUAUGGUUUGUGGUAGUAAUUUUGUUGGUUUCUUAGCAAGAUGGGAUAAGAUCUUAGAAUCAUGUUUAUCUGAUAGAUAAAUUCCGUAGGUUUCAAAGUUGGGUAGAAUGGAUUUUGGUAGAUUUGAUUUUGAAUCAUUGAAUGUAAUGGAGAUAAUGUCCAAAUUAAUCUUAGCCAUAGAUUUUGCAUUGGAACAUGUUUAUGGUGAAAGGAUUUGGAAGGUUAAAAAUACAGGCCCUAAGUGGAUAUGUUCAUUUUAAUGGUGCUUUUAUCUCUCUGUCUGCGUGUGGAUAGAGUUUGUGGUUUAUUUCCUUUUUCUUGUGUGUAACAUAACUGAUUCUUUAUAUUUUCUUUAAGGCAGAAUGGAAAGCUGCUAAGAAGCUUAAAAUCACAUUGUGCAGCCAUUAUAUGUCUCAACUGGGAGGAGGAAAAUCAGCUAACUACUGUAUGUUCCUUUCUAUGUGAUGGCUACUCUUGAUAUUUAGUUUGAUUGAUCAAUUUUGAUUCAGAGGAAUGUCUUGAAGAGACUUGUUAUCUACUAUAAUAUGGCUUCUAUGUGUACCUUAUUUAGCAGAAUUGAAGUGUGAUAUGAUGCUUAGGCAUGUCUUAAACUACGGAUAUCAUUUUCUAGUUUGUUGAUUCAAUUCUCGUAUGCUCUAAAUGGAAAAUAGUAAGUGCUUAUGAUUUAAUUGGUGGUAUUAGAGUUAAGGAUUUGAAGAAUGUGUAAAAUAAAUGGUGGAAUUAAAUAAAAAAGAUGCAAAGGUACACAAUGUCAACUUUAAACAUUAAUGCUAUUCUUUUGGUUUUUUGUUUCUCAUAUUUCUGCUUGAUUAUUAAAACUUAUGUUCCAAACUAAAGCACUGACACAUUAUAUCUUGAAAGAAAAUUUACCUAAGUACAAUCCCACAUCAAUGCUUCUUAUACUGAUGCUGUUGAGAGGGAGCAAAAUUGAGAGGACCUGAGAAUGAAUAUGUCUUGACUAUACAGUGAAGGUCUUGUAUAUGAUGAGUUUUGACUGGAUGAUUCUACUUUAUUUUUCUUUUCUACCUCUAUCUCAUUCUUUCCUCCCUAAAUUUUCUUGUAGGAUGACCAUGCUUAUACUUCCAAGUAUGAAGAUAGAACCUCUCGUUUCUUUCCUCCUGCUCCAAGAGUUCCUCGGAUGCCUGGAUUGGUAUCUGGUGAUAAUGGGUUCAUGGAUGAUAGUGAAGAUUCAUUUCAGGAGCUGUCAAAUUCUUCUCACCAACGAUUCAACAUCCUAUGCAGUGCAGAUAAAGAGGGAAAUAUUUGUUUUAGUAUAUUUGGCAUCUUCCCUAUAGGAAAAGUUGUAAGUUGUUGUCUCUCAGAAAUUAGCCUUUUCUUCAUUAUAUAAAUUAAUUUAUGAGGUGUGAUGGGGAAUGACAUCCUAAUAUAUUAUUUAUUUACCGUGUCUCCUUCCAAGUAGUUUAAUUUUUGUUUUAAAACAUAGUGUCUGGAGACAUACAUGAUUGUAUGUCAAGAUCGUUAGAUUAUGAUUUAAUUGUAGUUUAAUCUGCAGCCAUAACUAACAUUUAAUAGGCUGGGCCAACUAAAGUGACCACAGAUGAUCUAUUCAGUAGUUACUAUUAUGUUGCCAUUGAUUCAUGAGGACCCAAGUCCUGUGAUAUACUGUUUUCUGUUCACAUAUUUUCUCUAUUGGUUAGUGAGCUUAACAUGCGUUUUUACUAUGAGAAAUUUAUGACAUUGUUGAGAUUUUAUGGAUCAACAGAUGGACUUGAGAAAGGUGGGGGUACAUAUUUUAUUCGAAAUAUUUUAAUUAAUUGUGACACAUUACUGACUUGUUAAAAAUAUGGCCAUAAAAAGCAACUUGGUUUGGUGUAGUAUUAGAUAUUACUUAAUUAACUAAGAAGAUAUUCCUAAUAACAUUGGAAGAUAUCAUACAUUACCUUUUGCUAAUAUUUCUUCUGUGAAAGCCCAUAAAAUAUUCAGAGACAAACACUCGUAAAAUAAUUAAUACUAAACAUUAAUAUCAAGUUAGACUUGUCUGUUUCUUUAUUACCUUUAUCUUUUUUGCCUUUUUUUAAUUAAUAUUAAAACAUCUUACGGUUGUUGCCUUUCAGAACAUUCACAACCUCAUUUUUCCUACUUCCCAUGAUGGUGCAGAAACAACUAACAGAGUUUCAAAUGCUUCUGUACAGAAGGUAGAUUCUCUUUAUUUUGAUCAUUGAACUUUAUUUGCCGUUCCAAUUCUGUUUAGUUGGUGACCAAAUUAGGGAAACCCUAAACUAUAGUUUGAUGCUUGAAAUUAACUGGUUGAUUAAUUAACAUGCUAAUGUGCAUUUUAAAAUUUUGAAAUAUGAGAAGAGCAAAUUUAAAUACAAUCAAAGUAGCAGAAGAACUACGUCAAUAACUUCUUAUGGAUGAAUGCAAUGAUGUUUGAAAUUCUGCCAAAAUAUUAAUGAUAAAUGAAUUAGUGAAUUUAAUUCUGCUCGCUCAAUCUUGAGACAUGUACGUGGUCAAAGAGGAUGUUGCAUGUUCAUUAUAUAUUUAUGCAUCACUCAUGAAUGAAUCAGUGAAGAAAAAAAUGGUUAAAGUAUAUUUUUAGUCUCUGUUAACAAGUUUUUAUUUUGGUACCAAUAAUUUUUUUUUAUCUCUAUAAAAUUUGAAAUCACUCUUUAUAAAUUGUGUGAAUUUUAGUUGUAGUCCCUGUAAAAUAUUUUAUUUUAUUUUCAUCAUGCUAAAAUUAUAAAUCACUGUUUUUAAUCCUUGAUAUUCAUUUUAAGAUAGAUGAAUAACAUUUAUUUUACGAAUCUUGAGAGUUUUUUGAGGUUCAUGUAGACAUUAUAGUACAACACUAGUUGUGUCAUUUGGAAUGGUGAUUUAACUUUUUGUUCAACACAUAAAUAUUUAAUUAAUGUCAUAUAAUACUAGGCAUCAAAAGUGGUAAUUUUCAAUUUUAGAGGGACCAAAAACAAAGAAAAAAAUUUAUGGGUACCAAUAUCAAAACUUACUUUAUAGGAACUAAAAAUUAUUUAAGUAAAGAAAUAUUGAACCUUCGACUUGCAUAAGUUAAUUAAUGCCUUUCAUGAACCAUAUCCCGAUAAAAGCCUUGUUCUUUUGGUGAAGCAACAUGAAUGAUUCUGUAUUACAUUACUAACUCCACCUUUAAUUUUGUGCUUUUAAGUGUGGAUAAUGCAUAAGCCUGCCUACCUUGUGUUGAAACUGAGCUUUUUAUCAGAAGAAUGAAGGUGGCUAGGAUCAAAUUCUAGUUUACCCAAUCAUAGAGGUUCUAAUAUAAUGCAUAAAAUAACUCUCCCAAAAGUUUAAGCUGAUAGAUAAAGGCACAUGACUGGUUUUGUUACGUUCCCCCAUUGGAAUUUACUCAUGGAAGCUGUGUUGUUACAUGUCACUAGGUUGCUUUAUCAAAAGAUCUUUGUCGUUUGAUAGUUAUGUGCUCAGGAGACCUAGUUAAAGUUUGUGCUGGCUUGGGAGAAAGUCACAAUGCUGGGCACAAUGAGCAUGGUCUGCAUUGCUUAGCAUUGAACACUUCUAUAUUUUGGAAUAGGUAAAAAUUCUUUGAGAAAUGGGAUGCUUUGUUGUUACAUUCUUUUUCUUUGUAACAUGUAAAACCUUAUCCCUUCAAGACAAAUACAAAUGAAAUUUGCCAUCUUAUUCUGCAAUUUGUUUCCUUGUUUCCUUCUUAUAGGAAAAAUGAGCUCCAUCAGGUAGCUCAACAAGCUUCUAACAUUGAGGAUUUGACUGAGGUUGUUCGGACAUCAUUAUCAGUCAUGUUUAGGCAGUGGUCUGAUGCCAUGAACACAUUUCAGGAGAAGUUUAGCUCUUUGUCUACUUUGAUUAUAAAUCAUGGUAAGGUAACUGAGUAAGAGUUAUGGAAUUUAUUUUGUUAUUAUACUCACCCACUUUAAUUCACUUGUUUCUAUCUUCCAUUACUAGGAUUUGAUUCCUCACCCCAAGAGGAGUUUCUGAACCUUUUGGGUGGUGCAAGGACUAGCCCACCAAUUCAUCAAUUUCUUGUUAACACUUUGGGAGAAGUGGUAUACGUACAAUCUUAUUUAGUUGCAUUCCUCUUCUUUGUGGGUGUAGUUUUCAUUCAACAACUUUUCUUUUUCUCUACAGGGUGUCAAGCGUAUUUCAAAGGUUCUCUCUGGUGCAGGCAAAGAAAUUCAACGUAUUGUCUUGGACCACCUCCAGGUACAAUAUACAAUAAUGUUUACCAAUAAGGAGAAACAUAUUGUUUGAUAGAAAUAUUUUAAAAAAUGAUCAUACCAAACAACUUCUUGUUGCACCUUGUUGUAGUCUUUUUACUAGAUGAUAUAUAAUGUCAUUCUUGAAACCAAAGAUUCUAAGUUCUCUCUAAAGUUUGCAAUAUAGAGCACAACCUAGAUUUUUCUCAGUGGAUAUAUAUUAGUUGUAUUCAAUCUUUACUACUGUUCCUGUACAGCUUAAAAUUGGGGGGUUUAGGAUUGAGAAAUCUAGAACAGAAAUUGAAAACUUAAACAGAUUGCAAAAACGAAAAUCAAGAAGAUGAAAAAGGUCAAUUCACAGAUUCAAGAACCAAACAAUUCCUCUUAUCAUAGUUCUCUAAAGAUUCAGAUCAAAGUUUGAAAAUUAACCAUUCAAUCAAUCAAUCAAUUAAACCAAUUAUACGAAUCAAAUCAAAAUAUCAUUCAAUCUAAUCUUUAUAUAAUUAUCAAAUCAAGAUUUAAUCGAUUCCUAAUUUGAUUUCUAAAAUAAGAAACACAAAUUGUAAUUGCAUAGUGAAAAAUCGAAAUUAGAGAAGAGCGGUGCAAAUCUAGAUUUUGUGAAUUGAUGCUCAAGAAUUAGUUCUUCAUGGAUGAAAAACACAAAAUAAAAUUAAGAGAAGUAGAGGAAGAGAGAAAAGAGAGAAACAGAGAUGAAGAAGCAAUUUCUCAAACUGAAAAUUAAACAAAUGGUUUUUGUGCCCAUGUUUAGAGAACAUUUAGGCUAUAUAAUUGCUCUGAAAUAUGAAGUAAACAUGGACUAAAUGUGGGCUCUAAUUAGGUUCAUAAGCUCAAUUAUAAAAGUCUAAAUUAAAACAAGGAGAAUUGAAUCCGUGUGUUAUUUUUAAAAAAUUCAGCAAACUUGCCUCAACUUCUAAAUAUUGUAGAAAAUAGCAGAGAACUCCAAAUCUAGCAAACCAUCUGUCCAUUUUGAGGCUAUGAAAAUGUAGCAUCCAAUGUAACUGGAAUCAGCCAAAAAUAAUAUCUAGAAAAACAGUUAUGGCCAAAACAAUAAACAAAUGUCAAAUUAGCUGAAAAUACAAAAUUAAAGCAUGUAUGUACAUUGGACCCAAAUUCUUACUACUAAAAGGAAAUAGUUAAAAACUGAAAACAAAGCAUGUGAAAAGUGUUUUCAAUGUACAAUAAAAUUAUAAAUGUGUGCACAAAAUAUGUGUCAUCACUAGACCAACAAAGACAAUGAGAAUUUGCUUUCUCCUAUAUCUUUCUCCAAAUCCCGUUAGUGGGUUUCAGCUAGGUCAUUAUUGCACUCCUACCAUGUGUUAGCAAAGUAGACAUUGUGGGCAAGCCUGCUCCUAUCACAAUGAAUUAGGACUUCAAAGGCUGUCCCCUUUGACCAGCUUGAAGGGGGCUUAAGUUCAAUGCUGUUUGGAAGAAUUGUGAUAGCAAUUAUAGUUGUAAAGUUCCAGUUUUGUUGUCACCCAGGGUCCUUUAUAUUUCUAUGACCUUUCUAGAAGAAUAUAAGUAGCUUGACAGAGGGCAUUACCAUUAUAUCAAAACACAAAAGGUGAAGUGGUAGUGUAUUGAAUAAAUUGUUAGGAGAUGCAAAAAUUCAUGUGCAUUCAUGUAAUCGCCUGAACUUUUACUGUUCCAUUCUUGGCAUGUCAUUAGACGUUCAUUUUCUUUUGAAUUUACUCAGUAUUUAUAAAAACGUCACUUAAGCUCACAUGGAAGUUUAAAUGUAUUUUUCAGCCAGCUGUAGAAGUUAUUGGAUUCAGAAUAGGAGAACUAAGAGGGCUUUCAAGAUGGCGAGCGCGCUAUCACGGCAUUGGCUUGGAUGAAUCACUUAUUAACAAUGCAACAGAAAAGGCUGGUAUGCUACUUGUACAAGUUGAACGAUUUAUGAGGGUUCUUUCAUCUGUUAUGCAGCAGGUGUGCCUUUUUUAUUUUUUUAAAUGAAUCUUGUAGAUUGUAGCUUUAUUUUUCAAUUUUAGCUCUGUUGUUAUCACGGUCUUUAAAUUGUUAUCAGCUAUAUAUUUCCAUGGGGGCUACAAUAAUAAUUCAAAUUCCGUCUAUAAUAGUUUUUAAAAAUUGAUCAGCCAAUAUGACCUGAAACUAGUUAGCACACUAAAUCAGUCAAAAAUCGGUGACUAAAAGCCAGUUCAAAAAAAUCUGUAUUUACAAAGAUGAUUGUUUAUUAUUAUUUUUAUUCAAAAACAUUUUUGAAAUAAAUAUUGAGUUUUACGUUGUAUUUGUAUUAACUAUUUAUUAUGAUUUUUUUUUUAUGUUGUAGGACUUGUAACAUGAUCCUUCUUGUUUAUAAUUUUGCAUAAUUUAAUUUGUUAUAAUUCUAUAUUUUAGUUUAGUACUUAAUAUAUUAUAUAAUAUUAAAAAUAUAUUGUAAUUAUUUCUUAGUAAAGCAUUGCUCAACCAAUGUAUUGUGAACCAACCGUCAUCGGUUUAAUAAUAAUUAGUGCAGUUUUAAAACAUUGCUGCAUGUGGUUCUAUUAUAAAAAAUAUAAUAAUUGACUUCUAAUUUUAAUUAUAAGGAGGAAUUUAGUGGGAAACUAGGGAAAGAAAUGGACAAAGGGAAGAACUCAAGUGUCAAUAUUUCAGUUAAUCUUCAAAUCAGUUUUAAUUACCAGUAAAUUCUUGUGACCAUUCCAAAAUAUUCCUAAAUUAACUAAGGCGUGUGAACCAGCUUAACUGCCAAGCAAUUUUGUUAAAUAACUGUUAUAGCAAUGCCAUAAUGCAAUAACGUGGCAUUUUUUGACCCCUCCACAAUAGGUAAUUUGUGAAGGGGAGUUCAUUAUGGUAGUGCCGGAAACUACACUGGCAUGUUUAUAUGGUAAAAUUUUGUCCUUCCACACCAUAUUCUGCCAUUCACCAUUGAUAAAAUUGCUUCCAAGUGCCUAUUUGGGAAUCCAGUGAAAUAACAAAAUUACUUUUGUCUUCAAACAGUUUAAGUAACUCUUGCCUCCUUUUUGUUGGUUCAAUGUGAGCAUAUGAGCUAGGAAGAGCCUAACAGAAACCCCCAAACAAACACCAUCUGUUUUUUUUUUGAUCAACAAAGAAUGAAAUUAAAUUAAGAGGGAUACAAAAGGGGUAUCCCAACCCUUUUACAUAAACCAAAUCACAUUAAGAAUCUCCAAGAAAAAAGAGAUGAACACCAUCUGUCAUGUGUUAAAUUGAGAACUCUAAGGUAAUAGGUAUCUCACAAAAACAAAUCCCUAGAAGAGUAAGUUGGUCGUACAAUUUGAAGUAGACACACACUUCAUAAAGGAGAAGUUAGAUAAUUGGACAAUUUGUACACCAUUUGAAUCCUUUGGAAAUUGACUUGCAAAUGUAUUGACAAAAGGGCUAAGUGGUGCUAUAUUUCAGUUUAUUGUUGGUAUGUUGGGAAUGAAUGACAUCUACUCACCAACUUGAGGGGGAGUGUCAAAAUCCGUUGAAAUAUGCUGGAGAUAGUAUUUCCUUGUACAAAUUUAAUUGCAUUCCAUAAUUAGGAUAAGCUGUCUAAUAAAUUUUAUAUUUGUUGUACAAGAUCUUUGUCCCUCAUUUAGAAGAAUAGAUUGUGUCUAUUGUAAAUUAGGAGUUUCCUUAAUUAAGUUUUUUUGCAUUCUAUUUAAGAGCAAUUGUUCUUCUAUGAAUAUUAUCAGAAACAUUCUUUCUGACAACUAUCUUGUUUGAAUGCAUGUUAUAUUGUGUCAUUUUGCUUGUAUUUUGUUAGAAGCAAUAUUUUUUUAAGGGGUAUGAGUGCAUGUGUUUGAAGUGGUGAAAAUCUAUGUAUUAUCUUAUCACAUUUUAUCUGAAGUGGUUUAUACUUUGAAUAUGACACCAUUUCUUUUUACUAUGGUUUAUGAGCAUGUUAUAAUAUUGUGGAGGAUAGGAUCCAAUGAUAAGCUUGUGUGAAUGGAUUUUUUUGGAAUGAUGGAACACAUAUUUGGAUUUCACUUGUUGAGCCAAAAACAAUGUUUGAAAGAUAUCAAUGAAUGCAUUUGUAUAUAAGUCUUUUGUGUCUAUUAUUUUGAUAUUAUUUUUUUAAUUUCUUUUCCUCUUAACAUUUAUUCAACCAGUACUCAAACUUCUUCAACUGGCUAUUGAAGUGUAUAAAAUUACUCAUGUCAGAACCAAGUGACCAGCUUCUACCGUAUAACAGGUUCAUUUAAACAUUCCUUUUUGUUAUGAAUAAAAGACGAUUUUUGUCUGAUUUUAUUUUUGGUUUUGGCAGUGAACUUGUUAUUAUAUUCUUGAAGUUUCUAUACGAACAAGAUCCAGUUAAACAAUUGCUGGAAAUAUCCGAAACAGAAUAUGAAGUUGAAAUUGAUUUGUAAGUUUUGUUUUCUACUCUAAACUCUAAUAUUUUUCCAUUUAUCAUCAAUUUGAGUGGGAAUUAAGGCGGCUGUUGUUUUCUACACAUUAAUAAUCAUCAUCCUAGUUUCUAAUACAAACUAAUUACUAGCAGUUAUUUUUCUAUUGAUAACUCUCGACUUAGAGUUUCUAAAAGAACUGAUUUCUAAAGCAGUUACUUUCUACGUAUAACUAGCCUAACUGUCCCUGACUGUCAGUUCAUAUUGUUGCUGUCAGCUGAAAAAUCAGUCUUGUCCCCAAGGCUGAAAGUUGGAAUUUGGUUCUUCCACCACAUCAUCUUUAUCCACUUCAAUAGCAAUUGCUUCUUCAUUUUUGUUUAGGGAUUAAUUGGAUCAGGUUGUUUAAACUUAAAAUAAGUAUUUCUGAUCUGAAAUAGGCAGUUUUUUUUAAAAACCAUUUAUUUAAGAAUCAGAUGGGCUUUGUUUCUCUAAAAAAGCCAAAAACUGCUUAUUUUUAAAAUAAUCAGAUUAGACAAACACAUAAAAGUAAGUAGAAAUCUGUUUAUUUAUUAAAAAACACAAAAAAAUUGAUCCAUAUCUCCCUAAAUUAAUUGUUCUUUGCCCAUUAUGUAAGGGAUGAAAGUUUUCUCCUCGCUUAAAGCAUAAACCCUUCUUGCUUGUCCUUUCUAUCAAUUAUUGGUAUGUUAAAUGGUGCAGGUCAUUACCGCUCUCUGCUGAAUUUCACUGUUCACUCUCUGUUCUUCUACCUGAGAACACCACAGAUGAAGUUCCUUUGUUUUGGCUAGAUUGAUUCAUAUUAGAGUUUGGAACCGGUGUGAAAUUUUUUGACCAUGUGGAGCAUAGAACCACUUUGAUGGCCUUGAAACACUGCUAGAAGAUCCCAUUUUUUCUUGCCAACUUGUUUUGGACACAAGUGCAUUUCUUUUCUACCUCAGUACUGCGUGUAUAGUACACAGCCCAAAUUUUUGUUUUUGGGCUGAAAUGUUUGCACCUCAUGCAUAAUUUCAGGUUGCAACCCACCCAAAAAAAAUCUAAAUAUUGUUUUAUAGGUAAAUACUUAUCUCGAGAUGAGAGAAAUUCAAAUGCUUCUGUAAACUCCUCCAUUCAUCCCUCCUGUUUCAACUUGGUUAAGUCCAUGCUUUAUUUCUCUCAAUAGAUUAACCCAAUGGAUAGUAGAGUUCACUAACAUUCUGUAUUUCAAAAUAAGUUUCUGCCCUUGUGAUCAUCCAAAUACGGCCAUCUCCAUUGAAAGAUGGCAGUUUCACCUUCUUAAUUGCCAUGUGGUACUCCUCGAUGUCUUCGACAGUUGAAUUUGAUCCUUUACCUUUUCUGUCUGAUCAUCUGACUUAUUCCAAUUAGUUUUUUCAUCUGCAACAAAAUCUUCUUGAAAGUAGCUAAUUUUUUCUUGUCCAAAUUGACCUGUACUCGAGUCUCAGUUCUGUCUUCCAGUCCUUUCAAAUUCUCUUCCAGUCCCAAAUAAUACGAUCGUGCAUGCCUUUACUGAUGAAAUGUCAUGUAGGCAGUGUUACAUGACUCAUUCACGAAAAUGUACUUUUUAUAUGGGCUUAAAUAUUGUUUAGUCCCUGUAAAAUAAUUGAGUUUUGAUUUUGGUCCCUCUAAAAUCGAAAAUUACCACUUUUGAUCCUAGUAUUUUAGUUAUGAUACUAAUCAACUACUUAUGUGUUGGACAAAAGGUUAAACGACCAUUCCAAGUGACACAUUAAUAUAACGUUGACACGUGUCACCUAAAAAAAAAACUCUUAAUCUUAAAAUGAAUAUUGGGGACAAAAAACAGUUAUUUGAAAAUUUUGGAGCGAUGAAAAUCGAAGAAAAACAGUUUGUAUAGACUAAAACCAAAAUUUACACAUUUUAUACUAAAAAGAGUUAUUUCAAAUUUUAUAGGGAGGAAAGUAAAAUAAAGUUAUAGACCAAAAUAAAAAGUUGCUAAUUUUACAGGGACUAAAAUGUUUAAGCCUUGUAUAUGUUAGUCUGAAUUCCUGAUAUUAAUUUGAUUUUUUCUAUUUCUUCAGGGAAACAAUGCAAAGAGUUAGAGAAUUGGUUCUGUUUCAGGGAUUUUCAGACACUGAGUAUCUAAGGAGAACAUUGGCUAAAGAAUUUCAACUGAUGGAAUUAAGGUUUUUCAUUUUUCCUUCUAUUCCUUCUAGUUAGACACGACCUUGUUUCUGCUUCUCUUGACCUUUCAUUGCACUCAUGAAUCAAAUUAGUGAUUAUAGUGCUUAAAUCAUUAUGAAUGAGAUUACAAAAAUAUUGAGAAAUGUCACAAACAAAACUAUGUUUUUUUGUGUUUUAAAUUUUUGCUUAUUCCAUAGUGUAAAGAAAUACUGAAUUAUUUGUAGUUAUAUUACCUUGGGCGGUUGGCAUAUAUGAACUAUGAAGCAUUAUGACUCAAACAAUUUAUUACACUACUAGUUUAGACCUGAGCUUGAAUGCAUACCAUCUUAAAACAGUUUUAACAAAAAAGAUCUCUGUUCAAAAAUUGAUUUACCUCAAAGCUUUCAUAAUAAAAGUCAGGUCUUUUAAAUUGCAAAUAUAUCUUUUUCAGAUUGUUCUAGCCAUAUCACAUUUCUUUCAGAUUUACCUUGUGACCUCAUUGUCUUUCAGCUUUAAAGAGGCUUUUCAAAUGCCUUUUACCACGAUAUCAAGAAAGAUUAUGUGUGAGGAUAUACUACCAUUGUUUCCUCUACCAUCUUUGCCAAAAUCAUCGUCAUCCAUGAUAAUUCCCACUUCAGUAUCAUAUUAUGAGGUACUUCACAUAAUGAACGUUUUUGCUGAUUCCUAUUAAUUUAGUCAGUAAGAGGCCUUUUUUUCCUUGUGUCUAGAGUCAUUUGAAUUUCACGCCGGUUGGUUUCUAAUUCUAUUUUAAUGCUGUAUUAUUUUCUUCAUUUCAUGCUUUUUUGCGUAGGUUUCUUCUGGAGCUUCUGUAUCACCUCAAACUGUUCAAAACCAGUUUAUUGAUUACAUAUCUUUCCAAGUACCUGAUGAGUGUUUCUCAGAUAUUGUAAAUUGCAUAUGCAUAGUCAGAGGAUUCAUGCAUGACUCACACUGUCUAAAGAAGGGUAGCAGUUCGUUGGAAGCUGUGCUGUUACAUGUUCCUGUUGAUUAUCAAUGUGUGGAUCUGUCAUUGUAUAAGGUAACAAGAAAGUUAGUAUUUCAUACAGCCUUCAUAGUCUCAAUUUUAAUGUUCACAAAUCUCAAGAUUUAUCCUUUCAUUUUUUAAUGUUGUUGAAAACAGGAUAGUCAAAUUGUUUUGUUACUAAACAAAGCUACUAAUACAUCAGAAAGUGCUGGUGAUGGUUGUAUGAUGAUUCUGGAAGCAAGUGAACUACCGUAUAUCUCUAUAUCAAGAUCUGCUUAUAUAGAUGUCUGGAGAUUACCAAAACUUAAGGUAAGUUGUCCUAUGUUCAUUGUUUUAUUGUCCAUGGUAUAAAUUAGUGAUUUAUGUAACCAAUACUUUUUUCCUAAUAACACUUAUUCUUAUCUUUGUUAGUUAUGGUCCCCGGUAUCUUUGGUGCCUAGGCUUUGUCGUUUUCUUUUUUAUUAUCCUGACUGAAUAUAUCCCUAGAAAGCUCACCCUGGUUUGUGCCAAUAAUAAUUAGAAUUUAAGAGAAUAAGAGGAUCAGACAAAGUAAAUCAUCUUUAAACUCUAAAAGAGAAAGGGGAUGUAAAUUUUUUACGUAGGUAUACUGCGUAUAACUCUAGUUGUAUACAAAUUACAAUUAACCAAACCUAGGAGGCAAUAGAGAUAUUUCAGAAAUCAAUGAUCAAGUGUGUGUGAUGUCCAAAAGAAACUUCCUCCUAAGGUAGGAAAUUUCCCUUGUUUUGUAGGUCUUUUUUUUAUAGCUCUUUUACUCAUCAAAAGGACAAAAUAAAAGCGGAAGAAUAAAAGAAACUAAGGGUCUGGUUGAUUAAAGAAAAAAUAUUUUGUUUUCAUUUUCUAUUUGUAUUAUAAUUAUGAAAAUGUCACAUUUUUUUGUCUUCAAAUAGUUUUGUAGUGAUGUAAAAAAAAUCAGGCUUUUUUUCAUCUUGUCCUAAAUCUUUGAAAACGACAAAUAAAAUAAAAAUAAGGUGUGCUUUUGUAAUUGCUUGUGAAAAAUAAUGAAAAUAGAAAAAAAACUUUACAUAUUCUAAUCAUAGUAGUUAGUAUCUUACGAUUCACGAUAAAUAUCGUAUGAAACGAUACGGUUUCACCCUCCCACGAUACGAAUCGUGUGAAGAAUUUUUUUCGUCCCUGAAUCUUAGCUGUAUCAUGCGAUUCGCACAAAGAAUCGCUGAAUCCCGAAACGAAAUGAUCCCAUAUUGUGUGAAUCAGUGUAGAUUUAAAAAAAUGAGUAAAUAAAAAAAGAUAGACAUAAUUUGUUUAAUAACAUGUAUGCACCAUAGAGGUUGUUUUGGUGAAAUUGUGUGGUAUAUAUAUAUAUAUAUAUAUAAUUUAUUGUAUCUUGUAUGUAUAAAUAUCUUAUAUAUUUAAGUAUAUAUUAAAUUUUUUAAUGUUAAUGAAUCUUACGAUUCACGAUACGAAAUGAUUUACGAUUCAUAAUAUCAGCUCUCCGAUCCACUACUUGUAUCUCGAUUCUACUACCAUGAUUCUAAUAUUUUGAUCCUCAUUCUUCAACUGUUUUUUAGUAUGUUUUUUAUACAAAACUUAGAACGUCUUGUCAAACUUUACAUAUUCUAAUAUGUUUUUGUAGUUCGUGAAAACAAAAAAGUAUCUCCUCAAACCAAAAAGUUUCAACUAAUUUAAUUCUAAACCAUCUUGUCAUCAUCUUAAUUUUGUUUGCCAGAGUCAAUGCAUCCCAUCAUUUUGUGUUUGGGGUGAGCAGUUAAAACUUCAUUUUGAACUAACUUUAUUUUGUUAUGGUAAUUUUGAAUGAAAUUAAUGAUAAGAUGAUACCAGAGCUUACGUUCUGGUUGAACCCUAUAUUGUUUAUCUACACUGUAAAAUUAAGGCCCUGUUAACUCCAACUGUCAAUAUUGGCACCCGGCCUUGAUAUAAAUUGCUAACUAGCCAAGUCCGGAUGUGUUGUCUGUUGAAACCUAGACACAUGCCACUUGCAACCAUGUCCCUGACACGUGCAGCUCAUGUGCCAUUCUCUGACUGUCAUUUUGUCAUGCAGACAGUCUGGUUUGGUCAUCUGAGUCUCCUUGAUCUCUUUUGAGCAUCAGAUUCCUCAAGAACUCUAUGUGUGGUUCUCUUGUGAUUGCAGCCCCUUAAAUGGUGUGUCUUGAGAGUUCGUGCAAUUCUAAGUGUGGGGACUCACUUGUUAGAAUCAAAUUCAUCUCAAAAUGUCCCACACUUGUACAUUCUCAAUCACUCUUGCUAUCACCCAGAGAAGUAGAAUUAGAAUAGUUACAGUUGGAAAGCCGCCUUUGUUUGGUCACCGCUAGGCUGAAAAGAGCUACCUAUGGAGGGGUUGACUAAAAGGACCGAGUUAAAUGUGGUAGAGUACUGCCAUUGGGAUGUGAAUCGUGGUUAAGAUCCAGUAUUGAACACAGAUAUAGUUCAAGUAGUGCUUAUAAAGUUUGGGUAGUCCUUAACUUACUGGUCGUCUUUAAAAGGUUGAGUUAUGUCCAAGUCCAAAUUUUAAUGUGAUAUGAGAGUUUAUCCUAGAUUUAUUGUUGGACUAUUUCUGUUGCCAGUUUGUCACUCUUCAGGCCUUAGCCCAACAAGUUAGUCACAACUUUUCACCUCAAAGCAGCUUCUCCACAGUGCAUGUAGCACUGUAGUGUAGUAACAGUUCAAAACCAUUUUGUACUUAAUGGCUUCUCUACCCAGCCUACUUGAAACAAUGGUGUUUCUCUUGACUAUCUUUGCGUUUCUCCAGAACUUUCAAACCAACUCAGGAUAAAUCGUUUGGGGUUCAAGGAAGAAACCCCUGAUUCUACAGCGCUCAAGAUCAACGCUGAUGUCGAGACCCCUUUCAUCAAGCUCAUGAAGGGCUAGCUGAUGCUCCACAUGUAAUGUGACAUCUUUAAAACUCAUUCCUUGCACAGAAGCAGUGAAGAAGGUUAGGACAUCCAUCUGGUAAAGGUUAGCUUUUUGAAAAACAAAGGAGGCUUGAAGAUUUUUUAGCAUAACUCUAGUAGUUUUUAGGGUAAAAACAAAGUCAGGAUGAGGUAAUUAUAUAUAGGCAAAAGAUAAAAACGGUAACUUUGAUAGAAUCUUGUAUGAAGAUGAAGCCAUAACUGCUUGGUAUGAAAAUCUUGUUAGGCACUCUCUAUGUUCUUCUUCAUCUUAUGAGUACACAACAGCGAAGUACCUCAUAUUCAGAGAGGAAAAAUGCUUGAAGAUAAGCUAUCUUUUCUAGGGCCAGUGGAACAAUACUCGCUAGAUGACUUCACUAUUAUGUUUCUUCAGGAACCUGACUUUGCCUUCUGGCACAUGGUUCAGCACAUUCCUCGUGGUGUCACUGGACAUUAUGAUCUGUGCGAGUCUUCCUUUCCUGAGAUCAAGCCUUUAUUUUAGAAUUCAGAACUGCUGGAUUCCGUGUUGUCACAAUAUACAUGUGAGAUCAAGAAGAUAUCCACACAAGUCCCACAACAAAAACAAGACGAAAUAGUCACAAUAAGCCCUGAUGCAAACGAGAGGCACCACGUACAGAUUAAGGCAGAAGGCCACAGUCAAUGAGAUGACCAAAAGUUAAACUGGGCCAGAGUGGGACCAGAAAACACUGAUGAAUAGCAAUCUGACGAAGACAAACCUGAUGGAGGGAACACCAAGGGCUGAUAACAAACAUGGGCAGCGGCUGCACUAUUGGAUGACUAGUUUUUGUUGAAUUUUAUCAAAUUCACUUGAAACGGGCUAUAUGAGAUAAACACAGGCAUGGAACAGGUUUUUUUACUUAAAACCUGCUUAGAACAGUCUCCUAGCCGUAUCCUACAUAUGGAAAUGUUGUAAAGAGUUUUUCCAUAAUUUUGAAAAAAUAUUAUAAGAUCUACAUGAUAUAUUCAGCCCUAUUCAGUCCAGUUACCCAAAUAAUAUAAUAAAAGAAAAUAAUUACUGUGAAAUCAAUCAAAUUCUAUCGCAAUCGCAGACUCUAUGUCCUAAAAUCUCUAAUCUUUUCAUAAUCUCAACAAUUACCAUUAGUUAAUAUCAGUUUUUAUAUUCUGUAUAGAUAUCUCCUUAAGGAAGCUAUUUAUAAUUUUUAUAUUUCGUCAUAGUCAUAUUUCGUAAUUAUGUUUGUCUAGGAUUCUGUUGCUUACUUGCAUAUUGGGGAUGAGAAAGCUCGCAGCAUCCCACAUUCUGUAAUUGCUCCCUUGGCAGUUAGUGGUGAGUUCUCUGUCUCUCUAUCUCUAUCUCUCUUCCGACGAUCAAAAUGUGUUAAAUUUUGUAUAUAAACUGAUUCUACUUAACCGCAGAAUAUCUCCCCUUAAGUUUAAUGAAUCAUCAUGUAGUGCGCGUUGAUCUUUUGGUGCAAGUAUAUUAUAUGGGUACAAUAAUCAAAUUUAGGAAAUUAGCUAAAUAUGUUUCAGCUAGAGAUACAAAAAUUAAUCAAAUUCCUGGAGAAUGUUUAUUUCUAAUCAGUCUUUCGUUAACAUUUGACAAUAUUCAGAGGUACAAAAGUUAAGAUAAUAGAAUUGGUGAUGAAUAUAUGUUGGAUGUACAUGUUAUAUGUAAGGAUCAACAUAUAUGCCUUUUGAAGUGAAAAAUAUCUUUGAUUUCUACCUUCCAGCUGGUUAGUGUUAAUCUGGGUAUAAACUGCACUGAACCCUUAUAUCUUGAACAGCAUCUAGAGGCGUGGCUUGUGUAUUUGCUGCAAGAAAGCGUGCUCUGGUCUACAUUUUGGAGGAAGAUGAAGAGGAGGUCUCGGAUGCAGAAUAAUUCACCAAUUUAUUUUUCCUUCGUAAGCAUUUUGUUUUUGUUUCUGUUUCGGCCGAUGUUGUAAUCAUUUUUCAUUUUCUUAAUGGUCGAAACAUUGUUGUAGAAUGUCCAUAUCCCUUAUUAGUGUUCAUUUUGAAAACAUGAAAUUAAAUUAAGGGUUGUGCAUUUUGUACCCCAUUUAAAUUAAAAAUUUAAUUUUAUCCUUCUAAAAUAUGUAUUUGCAGGAAUACAUUUUUUAUUUUAUAUUUUGGAUUGUAUAUUUUGAAAUAUAAAAAUUUUGUAUUUCAGAAUUACAUUCUAAAAUACAAAAUAAAAAAUUUAUUUUAAAAAUGUAUUAUCUUAAUAAGAAAUACAUUUUGAAUUUGAAAAUACAUAUUGAAAUGUAUAAUUUUGAAUAUAUUAAUACAUUUGGAUUGUAAAUUCUAAAAAAAUAUUUUUAAUUCUAUAGAAGUAUUGGAUUAGAGAUCCUAGAAUCCCUUUAUUGUAGAAUUUAGAAUGCAGUUUUAAGAUAUAAUUUUGUCAUUUAACUCUCUUAUGAGAUGCAGUUUAAGAAACAUGAUGGUGGAGAAUGCAACACCCUUGAAUUAAUUGUUCUUUAUAGAUAAAAGUGAAAUAAGAUAGAACAGCGUAAAUUCGAGACGCUAAGACUGAGAACAUUAAUCAAAUACUGAUAAUUAAAUAUUUUAAAAAAGAUAUUACAAAAAAGAAACAUGAAAGUUUGACAUUAAGUGAAACACACAAAUAUGAAAAUCUAAUUUAAUUUGAAAAUUUUACAUAAUUAUUUUAACUUAAAGACUAACAAAAUAUCAACUAUCAAUGAGAUCCUAUCUUUACAUAAAGACCUUCUUUGUUGUCUUGGUGGAUGUUUGACGGAGGUGGAUUAUUGUUGUUAUUAUGUUCUCCAUUUUUGCCAUAUGGAAUAUCAUAUUCCAAUGGAGACAUUGUGGGCUGAUAAAGAACUGGAUGAAAUGCAAAGUACCAAACAUUUGAGAUGGAUUCGAAGAACAAAUAUUUUCAUGCGGUGGAAAAAUGGUGUAAGUUGUUGGUAGGGAAAUUGGACAAACAUGUUGUGGUGGUACUCCGUGAAUAUUUAUGGUGGUUGAUUAAGAUCGAAUAUUUUCAGUUUCUCAAUUCAUCAUUUUAGAUAUGCAAUUUUUAGUCUAAGGUUUUACCAAUUUAGUUUGUUAUUCUAUGAAUUAUAUUUAAUUUGAUAUUUUUUCUUAAAAUAGUUUAGUUACAUUAUUUUGUUAUAAAAGUAUUACAUAAUUAAUUUUAUUAAAAAUUAAAAUAAUUUAAAUCAACGAAACUUUUAUAUAUAUAUAUAUAAUUUUCCUGCAUUCUUUAACUAUAUUAUAAAAAAAUUAAUUAUAGGAAAUUAAUUUUUAAAAACGUAUGUACAAAUUUAAGUUUAUAAUCAUGAUUUUAAUAUAUGAUUUUUAUAAGAAUUUAUUUUUAUAAAAUUUGGAAUUUACAUUUUAAUGAAAUUUAUAUUUUACGUAUACGAUAUAUUCAUAACAAAUUUUCGCCGUUUACUUUAAACUAAUACGCUUUUUUAAUUAAAUUUGUAUUUUAUGUAUACGAUUUCUUCAUAACAAUUUUUCGUUUCCGUUUAAACUAAACUUAUAUGUGAUGUAUAUUAUUUUUAUGAAAUUUAGAAAACUCCUGCCAUUGACAAUUUACGUGAAAUUAAAUCGUAUUCAGUAUACAAUUUACCCAAUUCUGAAAUUAAAAAAAUGUCCAUUUUCAGAAAUACGAAGUGAAAUUGUACUGGAAAAGAACCGACAAAUAUCUCCCGUCUCUAUCCACGAAUUCAAGUAUUAUACUAAUAAACUCAAUGUAUUAUCUCUAUUAAAAAUGAUACCUAUUCACAAGUACAUUCAAUUCAAGCAGUAAAAUCUAGCAUCUUUUUCACUUUAUAUUUUGAUAGAGUAUCACAGACUAUGUCACGUCAAUAUGCAUAGUUAUACAGAUAACGAAACAAUAUAAAGUACACAGACAGCAAACAGAAGUAUUCGAAGCACAUAGCAGUUGGAAUUAAUUAUAAUUAUAAUGCCACAGAGCAUUAAAUUUCAGUCAGAUAGAACAUAUCUAGCUAUACAGAACUGAAUACAGCCCGGUAAAUGUAGUAAAGAUUCUAGAUUCUUGAAAUUGCACUAGAAGCUUUGCCAGGUUGCAGCAACGGACUCUUCAGUUUAAAAACAGGCAAACUCUUGAGCCUCUACAACUUGGGUGUAGGAAAUUAGGAAUGCUUAAGUGAAAACAUCACAAGCAAAGCAGUUAAAGGAGAUGUUGCAUAGUGAUAUUCUUCUACAGGCAGAGGUCUAUGCACAUUGGAAUCUUCAAGUUAAGUCUGCACCAAAUAGUUUAAUCCAGAUUUCAUAUCCUUUCUCAUGCUAUGAAAUUUUAGGAUGAGAACAAUUCUGAAUGUCAGUAAAGAAGCCUUGAAUGCUAUAACCAGAAAAACUAUUGAUCAGUCAUUAAAGAUCACCAAUGCCCCCAAGAUCUCUAUGGGUCGUCCAAUUCAACAAGUUGUGCCCGUUUCUCAGCAGCCUGCUUCCGAAUAAAAAUACCCCAUCUUAAAGCUGCCUUCAGCUUGAGCCAACCAACAACAGCUUUGCCUGAGGAACGAUUUGGUUCAUCAUCAAAAUUGUAGCCCAUGGGGUUUGCAGAAAUGUAUGUAGAUGAGCUAGGGUACCCAUCAUCGAGGCCAUUAAAUGUAGGAUGUGGUUGGCCUCCCACGUUAAACAUACGGAGUAGUUGCUGCAUAUCUUCAUUUUCUAGCAUCUCAUGACUUCUAAUACGAAUUUCUUCCUCUGGGAAGUAUUCUUCAACUCCUCUAUAAGUAGGAUUUGAAAUGCUGACGGGCUCAAAGCCAUGCGUGGAUGAUUGUGCAGGACCAUGAGUUAGUCCAUUUUCACUUCUUGGAAGUUGAGUAUGGUGUGGAACACUCAUCAACUGGUUUUGUAGGGAAAAUGCGUUUUCAUCAAACUGAAUGGAAGAGUUAAAACUAGGAUUCUGUGGUUGCAAGGAGAAUCUGGAAGUUGUUCCAUCAUGAUAACCUGCAGACAUUCAUGUAAAGUCAGUCAGCAAUCAAAAAACUCCCACGGGCUCACUAUUUUUUAGGUCAAUUAUGAGCAAGACAAUCUACACAGAUUGAUGUGGAACAAGAGCAGCUCACUGCGUUGUUCCAUCAUUAACUUCGACUGAUAAUCAUCUCAUGGUUCAAUUUUUCACCAUGUCAGACAUGUUAUAUCUAAAUCAUAUUCCUCAGGCGCUAGCAUUAUAGGUUUGACGAGGAAAAAGAGGAAAAGUUGAGGUAGGGGUAUUCAAAAAGUGAUUCAAUCCAACGAAAAUUGAAAAAAAUCAAACCUAUGUACCUCCGACUGUUACUCCUGAAUCCAUUGAAGGCUGGCCUGCAUGAACUGGAAGUGGGAUGGGUAUCUGCUGAAGGGAGUUUGAAUAUUCAUGGGGAGUCAUUGGUGCCUGAGGAUGAGCGGUGUCCAAAGUCUUAUCCUCAAUGUCAUUUAUCAGAGACUUCCCAUCAUACUCAAUAACAUGCAUCCAAUUAUCAUAUGCUUUCUUCACCAACGUGUCUACAUAAACCUACGAUAUUGGCAUUAUCAGAAAAUUCAUCAUUUUCCUUCCCUAUCGUUUGGAAGAAGUCUUAACAUUUUCGUAAUAUCCAAUUUUUCUUUAAUGGUAGCAAAAAUCCCCCACCUUAUCUUUGUAACACCUGUAAGCCUACUGCUAAGCCGAUUUAUUCCCAUAGUUUCAGGGGCAUCAAUAAUUAUAGAUACUAUGUGUCUGAGUACAAAGUUAAAGACUAACAAAAGUUUCCAGACUACAAUAAAGACUCCAAAAAUACAGCAAAACUAAGCAAAAGAUAUUAUUCUAUUAACAUUGGGAAGCCAAUAAAAAAAUAUGCAUAAUAUAAGGAAAAACAACUUUCAUUAUAUCAGAAAUCAGGUUUACCAUAUUAUGGAAGGAAUUCAGAAGUAUGGUUUGAAUUCAACAUAAAAGGAAAAUAUUCUGUGAUAGUGCACUUACCCUUUGAUUCUCAGAGAGAGAAUCAGCUGAGUAAAAUUGGUCGUUGGCAAUUAAGCCACUUAAUUCAUAAAUAUUAUUGAAAACAACACCCACAUUUCUUGCAUCUUCAGGGUAGUAUACAUAAACUUUUCCACUGAGAACACAAGUCUUGGCAUGCUCAACAAGAAUAUCCCACAUUUUAUUUGACAUGCCGCUUCCAAGGAUCUACAUUAAGAAGGAUAGUUAACCUAUAAAAUCCUUUGGCAGUUAAAAAAUUUAUAUCAUCAAUUCAAAUGCAAAACCAAAGGAAUUGAAAUUUUGAACAAUUGACAUUAAAAUCAUAAAUGGACAAAAAUCUGGUUUCUUACAUUCCGCAAUCUCUGAGGGUCUCUGACCACAAGUCUUAAGAAGUCUUCAACAGUAUAUACUCCAGCUUUAUUUAGCCUUUUGUGAAAUGACCCAUCCUUGCCAAUUUUCUCCAGUCUCCAGACCUCGUCAUUCAAGGCAGGAGGGUAGUGUUUCUUGUAUACUAUAAUUCAAUUGAUGUUUCGUUAGAACCAUUUUCCAGGAAUGAAUAAUAUAGCAAACAUAACUUAUGAACUUACAUUCUCCACGAUGAUCCUUAACGGUGAAAGGUUCUGAUUUGGCUUCACGGAUACGCAUUCCCUCACAACAACCCAAGGCAACUUUCAGCCCCAACCUGAACUUUCUACUCCUUAUCCAGCUAGAGUUGUCUGUAAAUGUAAGCUCACCCAGUGUUCCUACACCCUCCUUCAGUGUGACUUGAUUAUCCCCAGUUAGAAGAGGCCUUUUUCCUUCCCGCUCUUUCACAACAUGACUAUCAAAUUCUUCUUCACUCCAAUUAUCAUCAUCCUCAUUAUUGAAAUCUCCCUCCAGUACAAUAACAUCUAGCCUGACACAUGACUCUGGCCCUGAUGUGACAAUAUUGCCAGUGUUUGCAUCAAUCAAAACAAUAUGAAUGGCCGAACCUUGCUCUCCCUCCACCUUUCCACCAGUAAAGAGGGGAAGGGACAGCCUGCUCUUGAACUGCAAUUGUAAAUUUGUGCCAUCAGGGCCUUCUAUUGGCUUUGGGGAAGACCUGAAUUUUACAGAGUAUUAGAGAUAAAUUAUAGAUAGAUAUCACAAACUGACGGAGAUAAAUAAUAUAAGCUGAACCUGAAAUUAACACACCACUAAUCACUAAACAGAUAUGGAUCACUACACUAGAUUUUUUACUUUAAAAUGUGACAGAAUCUCCAUUAACAUAGACUAUCUGUCUAAUUUCAUCAUUCCAACAUCUAACAAAGCAAGUUAUUGCAGGAUAUAUUCUUACUAAAUGCCAUGAAAGCAUAAGCAGCAAAAGAUCGGGAGAACCAUGUGUCAUGUACAUUCAUCUGACACAAAAUUUAUCUUUAGCAAGAGGGAACCAAAAAAUUACCUGCCAGCAAGCUUGGCGGGGCAUAGUUUUGCCAAAGCAAGCUCGACUUCUUCACUAACCUGUUCAGCAACAAGAAUAAAAAUAAGAAAUAAGACACGUUCUUCAUAAAAAACAAUUCAUGCAAACAAAGCAUUUGAUCACUUCCUUUAGAGAGCUAUUUCAUUAAAUUAUGUUUGAUAACACUCAGACACACACGCUGCAGGCCAACUUAUUCCAGAAAGCCUCCCUUUGCAUAAGGCUCCCACCUAGUGAGGCUUGGAAGGGGUACAAAUAACCAGCCAGCCCGGUCCCAGAAGCAGAGAAGCUGUUUCUAGGGGUUGAGAGUUCGUUUCCUCUCAUAACGAGUAAAUAAAAAAAAUUACACCAACUUCUACAGUUUUGAAUACAAGAUCACUAAUUUCCUACCCAAAUCUUGUUAAGCCUCGGAUCAAAUAAUGGCCUACCAGCUUGAAGUACGAUAAAUUUUAGCUACAGGCCAGCAGCCUGAGAGGUUGUGCUUUAUGUGGCUGAUUAGAUGAGCAGUAGAAUAUAUAAAUGAUAACUUCAGGUACUAUUGACCAGUAAAUCAACUAAAAAUUUCAGAAAAUUAUCAGAUUAAUAUAUUAAGAAUUAAUACCACAAUGAACGGAAUUUUCUUACAACUCUGCGUAGAAUAGGCUCCAGUGAUGAGCAAAGUUUCUGCAGACUGUCAACCUUAAGGGCCUCAACAAUUACACUGCAAAUUAAAAUAAACAAAUUAAUAAUUCAAUAAACACAGUCAUAACCAAGUUUAAGACACCAAAGUACGCUUUAACAUAUGAAAACAUAACAGCCUCCACAGGGAUUAUUUCUUAGUUACAUACUCAUUUAGUGAGACACAUACUAGGUUGAAUUCGGUCACUUUUCCCCUUUGCUUGUCAGAACCAUUCUUUCACAUGAAUUUCAGACUCGUGCAAAAACAACACAUUGCGUAUUUUUUUACUUUUAAAAAUAAUUAAGCUUCCAAUAAUAAAAUCAGAUAAGAUGACAAUUCUACUUCUACCAAUUCUCACGCAAACACUGCAACCUAAACCUCAAUAUUUUAAAAAACAGUCAGUAACUGCGAUUUUUGCUGCAAUGUCAAGAUUUUUCAAGUAUCCACAACCACAAUCAUAAGCACAUUUGUCCGCAACUCUCACAAUAUCAGCAAAUGCAACAAAACCUAACAACGACGAAGGAACAAAACAAUCCAUUUCAGCGAUGCACAAAGAAAACGUAAUUAGCAUUACCUAGCCAAAGCAGGUCGUUUCCGAUCAGGUUGACCUUCUUCGGCCGAAGCCGAAUCCAAACCUCGCUUCUCUCGCGCCGUGCCGCUCGAUCUCUCGCCAUACCUUCCGUGCAUUGUUCCAAUCCGAACUAUGUUUGGUUGCGGAGAAAACGAAAGAAAGAGAAAAAAGCAACGGUGGCGGCGGCACACAACGCAGGUAAGUAGGUUUUCUCAGUCACGUAAGCUUCAACAGUUUAGUUGACUGAGGAACAAGUAAAUAAAUAGGCGGCAAAAUAAAUAAAUAAAAACGGAAAAUGUGAGUUAGCGCCACUUUUGGAUCGCUUUUAGAGCAUCAGGGCGUGGUGUGGGGACUGAAAAGAAGGAGAAAAGAGUGAAAAAAAAAAAAGGAGAAGUUGGAAAAGUACGGAGUGUGGAAAUUUCGGGGAAACGUCUCAGAAUUUUCUUUCAAGGCCACAAACGCUAUUUUGCACUCUGACGCUUAUUUUGUCCCAUGCCUCAAAACAAACGUGUCAUUCACAUAUCUCGCUUUCUUGUUCUAUCCUUUUUGGCUUAGUUUGGUGGGGAAUCCCUUUCGUUGUUUGAUCAUUCUGCCACGUGGCCUGUUUUGGGUGGGUCAAGUCUGUUAGGCGUUGGAUUUCAGAUCGUUCUGUAACUCUCUGCGUUUAACUCAUCCUAGGUUUCUUUUCCGUUCAAGCUUUUACUGCCAUUAGUAUAUAAUAACUUUACACCCUUUAUUCCUUCCUCUUUUUUUUACCUUUUCCUUUUUCUGGGAUUUCAUAAUGGAAGAUGCUCAAGAUCUACUUUAGGGUUUAUUAAAAUGAAGAAAAAAAAAGUUUCCAGGAUUCUAAAAUGGAAGAUGAUUUACAUCAGUUUGUUUGGGUGAUACAAAAUUGAGAGAAAAAUGAUAAGUAUAUUAAUAAUGAUGUCAUGAUAGAAAAAAAAAGUUUACUAUAAAUUUUUUUUCUGAAAAUAUUAAUUUUAUUAUUUAUAUAAAUAAAUACCCUUUUAUUUUACUUAUAUAUUUUUAAGUUAUUAUUUUAUUCUUCCUUCUCAACCUCCUGAUUGAGAGAUUGAGAAUAAUUGAGGUUUGUAAAGAGUGAAGAUAAUAAGAUUUCCUGGGUGAAGGUAUACCAUAGAUAUUUGAUAGUUGUGUUGUGUGGGGUCAACUUAGCUAAUUGGGUACAUUAAAUGCAACAGCAUGAGAAUGAGAAAUGCAAGAUUUGGUGAUGUGGGAUCCCUAAACCUCUUAAUUAGAAAACAGAAAGGGCCUACAAGACGAAGGGUAUAAUCAUGUCCAACUAAAACACGCAUAUAAAGGGUCAGAACACAUUCAAUUUUCAAUUGACUUUUAAAGGAAAGUUAUAGGGUAGGGAUACCAACAAAUACAAUACGGACAGAUUUUUUGUUUAAAAAUAAUAAACAAUACUAGAAUCUAUAACUUUCUGUAUAUUAUUCAAUUUCUUUACCCUGUUAAGCCAAUCUUAAUAAUUGCAUCAUCAUGACAUAAUAUUUUAAUAACAAAGUUCUCUUGAAAAUGUAUUUUUGUUUAAAUAUACUUUUGAUCCCUCCAAUAUAUUGUAAUUGCAUAAUUUUUUGUUCUCCAAACUUCAAUUGAGUUCCCACGACUAUGAUUUUGGUAUCCCGUGUUUCAAUUGAGAGAAUUGAGCAUGUUAUAUAUAUAUAUAUAUAUAUAUAUAUAUAUAUAUAUAUAUAUAUAUAUAUUUUAUGUAAUGAUGAAAAGUUUGUUAUCACAUAAAUAUCAAUAUAAUAAAUAAUAAAACAUUGAUUUUUUUGUGAAGAUGAUAUAUAAAAAAUGUGAAAAUAUUAAUUAUUAGAUUAAAACUUUAUCUAACUUAUGAUUAUUAGAUUAUCAUGCUAAGUUAUUUAUCGAAGUCACAUAUUUUCUUAUAUUAUUUAUGAUCGUCAUAUAAAAAAAUUAUUAAAUUUAGAUUAGAGUGUGACAAAAAGUAUAUUUGUGUUACAUAAGAUAUAUGUUUUAUGUUCUAAUAAAAAAAUACGAGAAUCUUAAGUUAAAAUAUUCAAUUUGACAAUAAAGCACAUAAGUUUUUGAGUUGAGUCUUUGUUUGUUCUUUUAGGUUUCCCUUUUCAUAGUCGGUUGAUCCCCCGUCUUCUUUCAUGCAUCAUCGUAUUUUUAGCUUUUAUUCAGGAUUAUUUACUAAUUAUAUCUUAUAACAUUUUAGACAUAUAUUAAAGCUAACUUAAAUAUGACAAAGACAUCAACAUGAUUUAUCCGUUGAAUACUUAUCAUACCACACAAUAACGCAAUAAACUGCAAUCCUUAAGAUUGCACAAAAUUACAAAAGAAUUGCAAUAAAGAGAAAAACGAGCAAGAGUGUGCGUGAGAAGAAACCGUAUAGCAAGAACAAAAUAAAAUGGAACCCUCAAGAACAGCUUUGUGGUGAGAAACGAAGAAGAUGGAGAAAAUAUGAAAGGGAAAAGAGUAAAGAAACUGUUCAUGUAUUUUCAAUUAAAAAGUUAAAAUUGUUUUUACAUAAGUAUAAAAAUAAAAAGUAUUGGGCCAAAAACAGUGGGCCCAUGCAACAAACUUUCAGUGCCAAAAAGAAAAAGCUUUGGGCCCAGAAUAAUUUUAUCACCCCCCUCAAGCUGGGAAUAGAUGUUUUUCAUUCCCAGCUUGGAAUGCAGAAGCUGAAAAGUGGAUGGAGGUAAUGACUUUGUGAAGAUAUCAGCAUUCUGCAUGGAAGAUGAGAUUGNNNN
rnacentral:lncRNA from 1 species